UCAUAUGAAGGAAAAUUCAUAUUACAGUUAAGUAGUAAAGGAAAUAGUGUUUUAAUGGUUGAGUGUAACAACACAAAUCAUGCUUGCAAAGAAUUACUACUCCCUAAACUUUACGUUUGAAACUGAGAGAAUCAAAUGAUCAAAAUCACAAUUACUUUUAUGCAACCCGGUUUGAAAUGAAUUACAUAUACCUACAGCUAUUAUUUCAGAGUUAAUACAAAAUUCUAGUUUUCGGAGACAUUGAGAAUCCUUCAACAUUCGCGACUCCUCAGGCUAGUUUUUAGCUCACAAUCAAAGCACACAUUGUUAUCAAUUCAAUCAAUACUUCAAAUUAAUUCUAGAAGCUCAUAAACUCCAUUGAUUUCCAAUGGUCAUGCUACAAUCUUGAUUAUCCCUCAACAUCAAAAAGGUCAUAUGAACAAACUGAAAAACUCAAAUUCAUUACAAAUUGGAACCGGUACAAGGGUAGUGGUAAUUGGUGAAUAAACUCAACUCAGAAUUUUAGCUUCUUAACGCAGAUACAAACACAUCACAGCUGAACAAUCAGUAUAAAUAAACCUUAUAUCAAUUAACAUGGAUACAUGAAAUUAAACAUGGACACAACAUGCAAUUCAGAUCUUCAAGUAAACAUCCUAUCAGAGAAAUACAGAGGUACAAUCACAUACCUAGAAGCAAAAUCAAUAGAUGAACUUGACAGAAAUAAAGGUUGGAGAUGAAAGGUGAAAUCUAGCAAGCAAGAAACAGCAACAAACUCAACAAUUAAGUCAAAAGUUCCACAGUUUAAAUGCCACUCGAAAUCCAAGAAAAAGUGAAGCAAAACCAGUAGAAAUUGGAAGGAGAACCAACUUUGAAUUUUUUUUUUGUUUUAUGUAUCUAAUUUGAACUUCGGGUUUGUUUUUCUAUCAAGAGAAGUCCGUGAGGAUAAAGGAAUAUGUGUGAGAUUUCUGCUGUGUUUUUCUGAAGAAUGCAUAAAUAAAAGAUGCCUAAACUAUGUGUGUGAGUGAGUCUUUUAUGCAGAAAAAUGAGAGAAUGUGUGAGAGAAUCUGUCAGCUGAAAAAUAGGAAAGAAGCAUAUGUUUUUAACAUAUUUUUGGACAGUUGUCCAUUCAGAUUAUUCCUUCCUUUUUUAAUUGCCCCUUUAAUUUCUGAAUUUACCCCUUUUUACCCUAAAUUUGACAUAAUUUCCCUUGUCUUAUUGUAUUUUAUUCCCUUUCUAGAAGCUUCCUACAUAGCUACCUAAAAUUUCCUAUUUUGCUUUCCCAAUUACCCCCUUAAAUUUAUGAUAUUUAUAAAUUAACUCUAACAAGAAAAUCAAACUGAUCCAGAGAUAAAGCAGAACUGACAAUUAUGCAAAUUAACUGAAUAAUCUGGUUCAACAUCUAAUUAAUUCAAAAUCAAUUAUCAUAACAACUCAUGCAAUUAACUAACUAACAUGUAAUUAAAUAUUAACCAAUUCAUGCAAAAGAUGAGACUAUCUAAUCUUAAAUCCUAUUUGGUACGAAUCAUGUUUAAAAUUUGAGAAGAGUAGCAUACUUUGAGAAAACUUGAAGAAAAGAGAACUAAUUAAUCGAAGAGGAAAGAAAAGAAAGAAAUUACCUAUUAAUCUUUAAACAAAAUAGCAUAGAGCUCCGACGGAAUCUGGACGGUCAAACAAUGGCAUUGAUCAAAAUAUGACCUCCAAGAUACGGCAUGAAACUUACAUCAACGAAUAGUUCUCAUCAAGAGCUUCCAAAUGAUGUAAAUUUUAACUGUAAAUGGAUGGAAUCAGUCAAGUGAUUAGAAGGGAAAAGGCGACGGCUAUGGUUUAGUUUCAAGAUCUAAAAAUUGACAAGAACAAGAAAGCUUUGAAAGGAAAAGUUAAGGGAUUUGGAGAGAUGAGGAUGUGAGGAUCUUUUGGUGAAGGUUUGAGGGUGUUUGGAGGUGAGCCGCCGGAGAGAGGAGUUUUUGGUAAAGGUUUAAGGGUCGGGUUCAGACAGCUAUAUGGGGGGAAAUGAUUAGAUACGAGCCAUUUGAUGAACGAAGAGCAGCGACUGGGGAUUUAGGGGGCUAAACGAGGUCGUUUUGGGUUAGUGAGGGGGUUGGACCGGGUAGUGGGAGUGGACUGGGGCGAUUUUGGAGAAACAUUGGGCUUGAAACAAAAGCCUAGUCCGAUUUUUGCUUAGCAGCCCUUCUCUUUAUUUUCCUUCCUUGUUAGAUUUUGCAAAAUUAAACAUCUUUAAAUACCCCCUAAAUUGAACCUAUUUUGACAAAAUUAAAACUUGAUACCUUUUCCAUUUACCAAUUGAACAAAUUAAAUAUUUGAUAUUAACUAAAUAAUGCAAGGAAUAUGCGAAAUAAAAUGACUAAUAUUUUUUUUUAAUCAAAUAUCUAUGUGAUUAUGCCUUUAAAACUUUCAAAUAAACACCAAAAAUGCAAAGACGAUACAAAGCAAUUAAAAUUAUUUUGAAUAUUUUUUAGGAGUAAUUUUAUAUAUGGUGCAAAAAUUACAUGCUCACAGGAGGAACAAGCAAAUGAAUUUGCAUCUAAGCCGCCUGUCGUUGAGAUGAGCACUGAUGAUCUUUGGCAGAAGGUACAGGCUAGAGAAUACUCUGUUGUUGAUCACCUGAACAAGACUCCCGCCCAGAUAUCCAUUUUGUCACUAUUGCAAAAUUCAUACGCGCACAAGAAUGCCUUGAUGAAAGUGUUAAGCGAAGCUAAUGUGCCCACCAGUAUCACUAGCGGGGAGAUGGCUAACACGGUCGGACAAGUGCUGGAGAGUCACAAAAUUACUUUCCACGAAGAUGAGUUACCGCCAGAAGGGUUGAGCCACAACAAGGCAUUGCACAUCACUCUGCAAUUUGAAGACAAGUUCAUUACCAGGGUCCUGAUAGAUGGAGGUUCGAGCCAGAACAUAUGCCCGAUGACCACUUUGAAAAGAUUAGGUAAAGGCCUGUAUGAGAUACAGAUGGGAAGCAUGAAUCUGAAAGCGUUCGAUGGAUCUUAGCAAGAAAAUAUAUGAGAAAUCAACCUUGAUCUACAAAUGGGCCCGACCUGGUUUGAUGUCGAAUUCCAAGUGCUAGACAUAUUCGCUACCUACAACCUGAUAUUGGGACGACAAUGGAUACAUGCAGAUGGGGAAGUCGCUUCUACCCUGCACCAGAUUGUGAAGUUCAAGUGGAAUCAUCAAGAGACCAACCAGACCGUGCUAGUGAUCAAAAAAAAGAGGAAAUUGGGAGGAGAAACAUACCACCGCAUUGAGCGAGUAAACGAAAUUGAGAAGGAUCGAUGGUGGAGCAAUAAGAUAGAAAUCAUAUAGAUGUGGUUGGGAUAUGAAACAUGCAAGGGUCUUAGCCGAAUGCUUAAGGGGAGUAGAGAACCCAUACGACCACUGUAUCAUGGCACGGCCUUUGGGCUCGGAUAUAAAUAUAUCGUGCAAGAGUACCACGAUUGGACACUGCCCGGGCGCACUGAUUACUAUCCGCUGGAACAACCCAUACCACCACUGCACCAGACAUUCCGCCAGACUAACAUGAUUUGGGAUCCGAGGAAGAUGAGAUUUUGGCCGGUAUGAGGAAGUUGUUUUUAAACGAGGAAGCCAUGGACUGCAGUGCAAUUUUAGAGGAGGAGGAGGAAGACCUUACUAUUUAGACAGUGGGAGAAGGAGUUGUUCUCAAGAACUGGACCGCUGCACCGUCCCGGGCUCGCCGAGUACUUGGGUAGCCUGACAGAAUUAGCAUGACUUAUUUUUAAAUUGUUUUUGAGCAUCUAAGAAAUUUUCAGUGUUUUGUUUUGAAAUAAUUACUCGAGCCAUCGAGUCGUACUUGUUGACAAUUCUAAGCAUUAUUAAUGCAUUAUUACUUUUCGUAUUUAUUAUUAUCUUUCUACAUUCUUUUCAGCGUAAUUAUUACAUAUCCUAAUGAACCUACGACAGUGACAUGUAAUGAGACAACACAACAUAAGGACAGUGAUUUGGAAGAUGAUAUAAUACAUGAGGAAAUUAUCAAAGAAGUAGAGAAUUUUGAGAACAAACCAAAUUUCAAGUUGGAGGAAACUGAGGUAAUUAACUUAGGGAGUUUUGAAAUAGUCAAAGAAACUCGCAUAAGUAUUUAUUCAUCACCGUCAGAAAAGGAAAUAUAUAUCAGGUUUCUAAAGGAGUAUGAGGAUAUUUUUGCAUGGUCCUACAAUGAUAUGACUGGGUUAAGCAUAUUUAUAUUAGCUCACAAGCUACCUAAUAACCCCAUGUGUCCGCCGGUAAAGCAGAAGCUCAGAAAAUUCAAGCCAGAUAUGAGUGUGAAGAUAAAAGAGGGGGUUACCAAGAAAAUCAAUGCCUAGGUCCUUCGAGUAGUCGAAUACCCGACCUGAUUAGCCAACAUUGUGUCAGUUCUGAAGAAAGAUGGAAAAGUCAGGUGUGUGUUGACUAUCGAGAUCUGAGCAGAGCAAGUCCUAAGGUUGAUUUUACUAUGCCCAACAUACACAUACUGAUCCACAACUGCGCCAAGCAUGGACUCUAAUCCUUUGUGGAUUGCUUCGCAGUGUACCACCAGAUUUGGAUAGAUAAGGAGUACGCCGAAAAUAUAGCCUUUAUCACGCCGAAAAGGUGUACGUGGAUGAUGUUAUCAUCAAAUUUAAGAGAGGUUAAUAUCACAUAGCAGACCUGCGAAAGUUUUUUGACCAACUUCGAAAAUACAAUUUGAAGCUAAAUCCUGCAAAAUGUGCUUUCAAAGUCCCUACUGGGAAGUUGCUAGGUUUCAUCGUCAGUCACUGCGGUAUUGAGCUAGACCCGUCAAAAAUCAAAGCUAUUCAUGAUUUGCCACCACCAAAGAACAAGAAAGAUAUGAUGCGUUUCCUGGGACGCCUCAAUUAUAUCAGCCAUUUUAUAGCACAAUCAACUGUGAUAUGUGAGCCGAUCUUCAAGAUGCUGAGGAAAGAUGAUGCGACAAACUGGACCGAAGAAUGUGAAAAGGCUUUUGAAAAAAUCAAGGAAUACUUGUCUAAACUGCCCGUGUUGGACCCGCCAGAACUAGAAAGACCUUUGUUAUUGUAUCUGUGUUGGAUGGAGCCUUUGGUUACGUUCUGGGGUAACAUGAUGAAAUCGGAAGGAAAGAACAGGCGAUAUAUUAUAGGAGCAAGAAGUUCACACCUUACGAGGCCUGGUAUUAUUUACUAGAGCACACCUAUUGUACUUUGACAUGGAUAGCCCAGAUGUUGAGACAUUAUUUCUAUGUGUACACUACAUAUCUCAUAUUAAGGAUGGAUUCGCUCAAAUACCUCUUUCAGAAAACCAUGCCUACAAGUAAGUUAGCAAAGUGGCAGAUAUUGCUAACUUAGUUCGACAUCAUUUAUGUGACCCAGAAGCCAGUCAAAGGGCAAGCAUUGGCCGAUCACUUGGCAGAGAACCCCAUAGACAGAGAAUACGAACAAUUAAAGAUGUAUUUUUCCAAUGAAUAAGUGUCGUUUGCAGGCGAGGAUAUUGUCGAAACAUACGACGGUUGGAGGAUGUUUUUCGACGGAGCAACAAAGAUGGUAUUAGAAACUGGUCAACAUUAUCCUGUAUCCGCAAAGCUCAGGUUCCCGUGCAUAACCAAUAUGGCGGAGUAUAAGGUCUGCAUCCUGGGACUCAGGUUGGACAUCAACAUGAAUGUUCAGGAGUUGCUGGUAAUGGGAGAUUCUGAUCUAUUGGUACACAAAGUACUAGGAGAAUGGGCUACCAAGAACACUAAUAUUUCCAUACCUGCAUUGUGUACAAGAGUUGAUCAAGAGGAUCACAAAAAUAGAAUUCAAGCAUGUUCUGAGGAUCUAGAAUGAGUUCGCAGAUGCAUUAGCCACCUUGUAUUGCAUGAUACAACAUCCAAACAAGAAUUUCAUUGAUCUUAUCCCAAUCGAGAUUUGUAAGCAACCAUCUUAUCGUGCUCAUGUUGAAAAAGAGUUUGACGUAAAACCAUGGUUCCACCAUAUCCGGGAAUAUUUGGAGAUAGGAGAAUACUCAAAAUAUUCCACGCAUACUCAGAAGCGCGCACUUCGAAGAUUGGCCAACAAUUUCUUUUAGAGCAUAGGAAUUUGGUAUAGAAGGACUCCUGACUUGGGAUUGGUAUGAUGUGUCCAUGCCACAGAGGCAUCUAGAUUGCUCGAAUAAAUACAUGCCAAAACUUGCAGACCUUACAUGAGCGAUUUCAUUUUAGCCAAGAAGAUAUUAAGAGCAGGGUAUUUUUGGAUGACCAUGGAGACGGGCUGCAUCAAAUAUGUUAGAAAAUGUGACCAAUGCCAGAUACAUGCUGAUAUGAUACGAGUGCCGCCUAAAUAACUUAAUACAAUGAGUUCACCCUAGCCUUUCUCUGCUUGGGGCAUGGAUGUCAUCUGACCAAUUGAACCCACUGCUUCAAAUUGAUAAAAGUUCAUUUUGGUGGCUAUAAAUUACUUUACAAAAUAGGUUGAAGCCGCUUUCCAUAAGGCUAUGACUAAGAAGGUCGUAGUAGAUUUUGUCCAGUAUCGCAUUGUUUUGUCGAUUUGGAGUACCUGAAUCAAUCAUUGACAAUGUUGUGAAUCUCAACAGUGAUCUGAUGAAAGCCAUGUGUAAAACAUUCAAGAUCAAGCAUUGAAAUUCCACAGCAUACAAACGACAAAUGAAUGGAGCCGUAGAAGCCGCCAACAAGAAUAUCAAGAAGAUAUUAAGGAAAAUGGCGGAUUACUACAAGAAAUGGUCAGGUACCUGCCAUUUGAUUUGAUCAGGUACCGCACCACAUAUCGUACGUCUACUGGGGAAACCCCAAUAUACCGGUCUAUGGUACCAAAGUCGUUAUUCUCGCCACAGUGGAGAUUUCUUCCUUAAGAAUCAUAGAAGAGGCCGUGCUCAGCGAUGUGAAAUAGAUACAGAGUUGGUAUGAACAACUGGCUCUCAUUGAUGGUAAGAGGAUGAACGCAGUGUGUCACGGCUAACUCUACCAGAAUAGAAUGGCAAGGGCUUUCAACAAAAGGGUUAGAUCAAAGCAACUCACAUCGGGACAAUCGGUGUUUAAACAGAUCUUCCCGCAUAAGGAUGAAGCAACGGGGAAAUUCUCACCCAGUUGGCAAGGCCCUUACAUGGUUCACCGAGUACUGACAGGAGGAGCGCUUAUACUUGCAGAAAUGGAUGGAGAAAUAUGGCCAAAACCUAUCAACUCAGACGCAGUCAAGAGAUAUUAUGUUUAAGAUUAUAUUUAUACUUUCUAUUUGAUGUAACCUGAACUACGCUUGACCUAAUUCCCGUUUAAGAGGGGAUAUGUAGGCAGCCCUAUGGGUUCGGCCACAUCAUAAUAAAAUCUUCAUUACCCCCUAUGGUCAGAAACUGGGGUAAGAUUUCGAGUUCAUCAAUAUCAUUAUGUCGAAUAUCACAAAGAAGCAUAUCGCCAGAAGUAUGCAUAUAAACUGGGGCAAAAUUUUGAGGAGGGUCCUCAAAAUUCCGAGUUAAGGAGGUUACAGUGUCUCAAAAGCAUGUCACAAUCGCCGAUUCGACAAAAUUAUCCGCUUUUAUGCAUUAUCACAUAUUUUGAACAACAGCAAUUUAAAAAAAAUGAAUGAUGAUUUUUCACAAAUGCAUAUUUUCGAAAAUUUCAUUUUUCUGUAAUAGCCAGAUGUUACCCAGGGUGACUCGAACAAGGUAGCAAGACAAGGAGCAAAGUCGAAAUGAAGAAUCAAAGGCACGAACCAACCUUUCCCCAAAACUCACGAUUUUUCCUUGGAUGCAGUCACAAUGGACAUAAGGAGCAUGUCCGAAAAAUAUACAUACAAUAAGAUCAUUAUCUUCACACCGACAGAAGUCUCUAGGCACAAACGUGUCAAACUAAGGACCACUUCUCCCUCUCACAUUUAAUCGUUGCUUCUCCUGCAUAGGGCUAAGCACUACCCUCUUUACAUAGGGGCUAAGCACUACCCUCAUCAUUGCAUAAGGCUAAAUGCUGCCUUUCCUUGCAUGAGACUAAGCACUGUCUCCACUACAUUGCACGAGGCUACGCACCGCCUCCAUUAUUGCAUAAGGUUAAGCACUGCCUCCAUUAUUGCAUAAGGCUAAGCACUGCCUUCCCUUGCAUGAGACUAAGCACUGUCUCCGUUCUUUGCAUGAGGCUAAGCACUACCUCCAUUAUUGCAUAAGGGUAAGCAUUGCCUUCCCUUGCAUAAGACUAAGCACUGUCUCCGUUCUUUGCAUGAGGCUAAGCACUACCUCCAUGAUUGCAUAAGGGUAAGCAUUGCCUUCCCUUGCAUGAGACUAAGCAUUGUCUCAAUUCUUUGCAUGAGGCUAAGCACUGCCUCCAUUAUUGCAUAAGGCUAGGCCUGCCUUUCCUUACAUGAGGCUAAGCAUUGCCUCCACCAUUUUAUAAGGGUAAGCACUGUCUUUCCUUGCAUGAGACUAAGCACUGUCUCCAUUACAUUAUACGAGACUAAGCUCUGCCUCCAUUAUUGUAUAAGGAUAAACUCUGCCUUCCUCUUCAUAGGGCAAAACACUACCCUCAUCACACACAAGGCUAAGCGUUGUCUUGUCCCGUUCUCACAUACAACUAAGCAUCAGUUGUUGCCCUCUAUCAAAUGAUUGAUAUUUACACAUCUUUGCAUUUCAUGGGCUGAAACAUCGCCACAUUGUCCGAAGGCGUCAUAGUCUGAGGGCAUCAUCCUCAUAGCCGGAAGACAUCAUGCCAUGGCCGGAGGAUCUCUCAAAAUUGCAUAUCAUUAUUCCAAGGCGUCAUAGUCUAGAGGCACCAUACUCAUGGCCUGAGGACACCAUUUCAUGGCCCUCGAAUCCAUUAUCAUACGCUUCAUGGCCCAGGACGUCAUGGUCUAAGGACAUCAGCCUUAUCGUCCAAAUGCAACUCUCAAGGUUCGAAGGGAAUUUGCAUCAUGUUUAAAUAACCCAUCUAUGUUCGUGUGCAUCAUGUUUUAAGUUUUGCAGGUAACUCGGGAGGUAACCAUUCUACAAACACGAGCAAUUCUCCCUCUGGUUUCCAUCACAUCCUUCGAUCAUCUCAAACGUAACCGAUGAUUAGCAAUUGAUUACCCCUUGUCAUGUAACCUCUCAAAUACUUGCCUUAUACAUCCGUAACGUUAAAAUUCAUAUCUCCACCUGAUAUUAUCCAUUACUCACGAAACUAUCAUAUCCAAAAACAUCUUUUUCGAAACACACGACCACUCUUAUAACAACUCCAUUGGUUUCGUUCGCUGUUGGAUCCAGAACUACACACAACCCGAUUCCCUUAACACCAGGGAUAUGUAGGCAACUCAAGAACCAAGGUUCGGCCCACGUUUUUUCAAAAAACGCAUCAUCCCCACUUAUUUCGAACAAAAUUGGUCAUUACUUUCUUUACCCGACAAUUAGUUCAUCAUUCCCGAGUAAAGAGGGGCAAUUGUUGAUACCUAAAUUUUCCCUCAUAUUUUUUUAUAUAUAUCCUAUAUAUUUUCAAAAUAUCAUUCCUGCAUCAUCACCAAUUUACUAGAGUUAUAUAAGUAAUUUAUGUAAUUGUUCAUAGUUUUUAAGGCUUUAAAGUUAAUUUUCUUGCAUUUAAAUUAUUCAAAUAUUUAUUAAUUACUCCUUCAAAUUAUUUUGUGAUGACUUAAUCAUCCAAAUUUAAUUUUUACACCUAUAUAUAUGCUUUAUAAUAUUUUACUUCAUUUUAUAUAAUUACAUCUGCAUUUUGAACUAUUUACGCAUCUUUUGCAAUAAUAGCCUAUACUUUAUAAUUAAUUGCAUUUAUCAUUUUUAUUCAUGGUCAUAAUAAUUGUUUUUAUAUUUUUAUAAUCUUCAACUAUUAUUUUAAAAUAUUAAGUUUCAUAAAUAGUAUUUUAUUUAUUUAUUUAUUUAUCUAUUUUAUGAAAUUAUUUUCCCCUAAUUUCUUUUAUUUAAAAUAUGGCCCAAAACAUGCCAAAUUUAGGACCCAAAUCCCUAGCCCGAUUCCUCAGUAGCCCAACCAAAUUACCCAUUACCUUUGACCCGCCCAGUCUCUUGUUUAAUCUUGGCCCAUAACAAAUCUCCCGUUCUCCUUAUAUCCCCAUAACCAAACACUAGAGAACAUUCACCCAAACCGGUCGCCUUUGCACUCUAUCUACUCCUCUCUUCCUCUACACGAAGCCUAGCCGCCGUAUCUCUAAAUCCUCUCCAAAUAUGAGCCCAAAAUGGAAUAAAUCCAUUAUUCACUUACCUAUUUUAUGAUAUUUCGCUACUAUGUACGCGUAUGUGGUGUUACUUAGUUCUUGGCCUUUUUUUGGCAAGAAGUACCUUUCAAAAUCAGGCAUGAUUGACUUCGAUCUUUAAGGAUUCAAAUGGUAUUUCAUCUACAUACACUUGAAUGGAGGUGAUUCUUGCACUCCUAGUUUGAUUUUCAUACGAUUGAACCCGAGUAGGGUUUGUGAUUCUCCAUCUCCUCUACUUAUUCUGAUUUACAUGUGAUAUUUCCUUUCCUUAUUUGUGCUUAAUUGAUUGUUUUCUAUGUUUGUUCGUUUAAUUUUUACUACUAUAUAAAUCCCCAUUUCCAGUUCCCUUCUAAGUCUCAACGAUUUAUUACUUAACUACUAUUACCAUUACUUUGAUUCUUCUAUACUUUUUGCACUUUUGGCACUUUGUCGGCUGAAAUUUAAGGCCACCGGAUUUCGAUUAACUGACCUUCUUAGUGUGAGCAUUGCCCGGUGUUCAUCUAAAACCCUUGGGAACUCUGGAGCAUUGAGUUUUGGGUUCUGCUACUAUCUCUGAUGUCAACGACUGAAGUAUUGUUGGAAUUAUUCUUCUUGUUUACCCGUUUGUUAAUUCGCAACAUGUAAGUAUCUUUGGCUCUGUCAAUUUCAUUCCUUCUCGUUGUGUUCAUGUUUUGUACAUCCAUGUCACUUAAACUUUGUGAAUCUAUAUGCUACUGUGUUACCCCUGCCAUUUUAUGACUCAAAACUUUUCUAGCAUCUGAACUUGUCCAUCCUCUAACUCUGAUGUAUGCCUACUGUAUGUGCUCAACAUGAAUGAUUCUCACUACCUUAAGCAUGCCCAACCUAGUGUGUUUUUGUAUGUUUGAAUGUUUACAUUUGUCACUCAUCCUGAGUUUAUCUCUCUGCCUUGUUCUGUGUCUCUAUGAUAAAUCAAAUCAUAUGUUCUAAUUCCUGUUGGAUCAUUCAUGUGUACUUAAUACCCUACUUUAUAUCAUUUUUAUUUAUAUCAUGAAAUAGUUAAUGGCUUAAUAAUUAGAUAUUAUGAUAUCGAUUGAGUCAUGGCUUGCCUAGCGAGUAGGUUUGGUUCCAUCAUGACACACAUGAAUAGGUAAACCUCGUAUCAAACAACAGAGAAGCAUCUCUAUCGCAGACGAAACCUAAACUUGUGAUCAAAGAAUCUGAAGCCAAUGCCUUGGGUCUACCGGGAAAAGCAUAGCAACGAGCCCGACAUCCUUUGGUCUGACCUCCACUGACCUGGCCACUUUUUACGGCAACCUCUGUCUUCUUGUCCUCACCCUCUAGCUGACUAGGUAGGGGAUUAAGCAACUGGUGCGGGAACCACUGGUUGAAAACUAUGAAGCUACGCCUCUAGAAAUCCUGUGGAAAUACUUCCUCACAUGGAUGAAAUACUCACACUCAUAACAACCCCUUGUUAACUGAGGAUUUUUACCCCGAAUAUGCCAUUGAUGACCCAAAAUACUAACUAGAAGAACCCUAGACAGAUAUUGCACAAUAUGAACUCAAUGGGAGAGCACUAUAUGAUGCUGAAACUGGAGUAUUGAAAGAUGACAAAGCCACUACCAUGGGCUACAUGCUUUUGAGAAUGAGCUGGCAUACAAUGAUGGCCAUAUCAUCCUGAAACACAUGAGAACCAUUAAAACUCUCUCGAUGGUUAGUUGGUAUAGGAGCCUCAACAUGACCAUCAACAAUCUGAUCCUCUACUUGCUCUUCCGGUGGGUCCACUCAUGGGCUAUGGUGAGUGUUCCACCCCUAGUUGCGACCGUGUGACCCUUGGUGGGAGCCUUUGCCUUGCCCGAGGUCCUACCUGUCCUAGCUGUAUCUGGUGGUACUGCCUGUCCCUCAUCUGCUGCUACUACUGAAGCACACGUUUUCACUAUAUGUGAGAUAGUAGAAGAGAACGAUUUAGACUUGGACCAUAAUCAACACACGACAAAUAAUGAAGAAAGCAAAAGUUCCUAAAGAUUAUAGCCUCUCGCGGAUAGAUACUGAUGUCUCUCUGGCGAUCCACAUUACUCUAUUAGGCCUUCUCAUGACUUGUGAAGCUCUUAAAACUAGAGCUCUGAUACUAACUUGUCAAAACCCAAAACUCUAACAAAGGCCAUGAUGGUGCCUAACUCUCUUGCUAGGAAAUCCAACACUCAACAACAAUUAUAAAAGUAAAUUAUUAAGUCAUCAACAGUGUCAUGAUAUAUCAAUAAUAAGUGGAGUAAGUCUCGAAUCAACAUCACAAAUACACAAGUCUAAGACAGGGUCUAAAUACGACCAUAAUUGACUCCCAAACACCAAAACCUUAGUGUCCCAUCAUCCCGAGCAUUGUAAAUGAGUAAAUCAUCUCAACAUAAACGGGAAAGAAGGAACUAGAUAUGGAUAGAUAAGUAGGAAAGGGGGACUCUAUAUGCUCUAGAUCGGAUCAAAUGAGGAAGUUCACCACGAAGUUUCCAAGUAUGCUCCUACACUGCUAGAUAGGUACCAUUAGCACCUGCCUUAGAAUCUGCACAAAAAUAUACAUAAGUGUGGUAUGCACAAAAACACGAAAUAUAAUUUAGAUGCACCAACUCUCUAACUCAUGCAUAUGCAUACGAAAUAUAAUUAUAUCACGACCCCAAAAUAUUCUAGUCGUGAUGGCACCUAACUCAACCUACUAGAUAAGCUAAAUAAUUUUCAACACAACUUAAAUGAGAAUAAUAAGAGUCAAUGAGUAAAAUAACAAAAUUUCUAUACAAAAUCCCAAGGAUUAGUAGUACAAGCCAUGAGUCACUAAGACUUAGAUUUACAAAGCUGAUAUGAGAAUUAAUAUAACAUCUGUUUGGAAUGUUCAAAAACAUAUUACGAAUCUAAAGCUACCGAUGACAAGUGGCAGAUAUAUCCGGAAGCAGGUACAUCAUCAAUGCUAGCUCCCACCAUAUACAACAGCAUCAUCUCCAAGAUCUGCACGCAAGGUGCAAAGGUAUAGUAUGAGUACAACCCACCCCAUGUACUCAAUAGGUAUCAAACCUAACCUUGGGUUGAAAGCGGUGAAGAGCUCGGACAAUGGUCGGAGUCCAACACCAAUAGCCAAUAACAAUUCAUAACAAUAUAAUUAAGACAAUAAAAGUAAAUAACUUAAGAGAUGUUAUGCUCAGCUCGGUCACGAUUAUGGGAAAGAAGACAUGCAUUUCAAGUAUAACUGUAAAGUCCAAAGUUUACCACUGAAAAUCAAUUUCACAUGAUUUUAUCAAACGAACUAUGUUUUCCAAUUCCCAACAUAAGAUAAGACUUUUUGUUUACCCAUUAUCAUGAGGAAAGUACAUCUUUAUGCCUAUAUGUCAAUAAAAAUAUCAAGUCAUCAAAUGUCAUAUACUAUCUAGCAUAAGGGAAAUACAUUUCUAUGCCUGCAUGUCAAGUCAUCAAAUGUCAUAUUACCAUCUAGAAUGAGAAAAAUAUAUCUUUAUGCCUACAUGUCAAAUAUAGAUGUCAACUCAAUACCAUCACAAUGAAAACAUCAAGAAUAACCACACUUAGCAUGCUCACAGUGCCUGGGACAAGGCCUUCAUGAUCACACGAAUCAACAUUUAGCAUUGUACGAGUGCCUGGCAUAAAUGUCCCUCGCCAAAGCACAUAUAUAAAUCAUUAUGAAUGCGCCCACUGCUGGCAGGUCAGACUCUGGAGGGGCGGAUCCUACCCAAGUGCUAUUCAUAAUCACAUAGCCCAAUAAUGGGGCCUGGUGCACGCGUAACCCUAAAUCAGUAACACUUAGCACAAUAUGAGUCUGGCGUAUGUGUCACUUCAAAAUCAAUACUAAAUCGGCUCUAUGGCCCAAGCUCAAUCAUCAACCACUCAAGUUUCAGUUAACCACAUCUCACAGUACUCAAUUCAACAGUGUUACACAUAUGAAACAUCAACAACAUGUGAGGAAUCAAAUAAGAAAGUACUGAGAUAGAGAUAACAUACAUGGAUAUAGCAUAUUGACUAAGAGUAUGUGUACAAUUAAGGCAAAUAGCUCAUAAAUAGCAAAAUUAGCCCUAUCAUGUCUCAAACAAACAACACAUAGCCUAGACAUGAUUUCUAACAUGAAUCAGAACUCAAACAAUCAUACAUAUUUAGAAUACACAACUAUAACAAGGCAUGAAAGAAAACAAAUCCCACAAUUGUCUAGAAGCCACCUCAAAUCACUAAUACUCCGGUGAACGCACUCGCGCCCGUCACCUAGCGCGUGCAUCACCCCAAUACAUCUCAUAUAACAUAGUUACCAAGGUUAAUUACCCUCAAAUCCAAGUUUAGAUAUGUUACUUACCUUGAACAAGUCAAAUCAAAUACCAAGCAAACCAAAACAUACUCUAAAUAUGCCAUCCCACGCAAAUCAACCUCCGAACGGCACAGAACUAGCCAAAAGCAACUCGAAAACAUCAAAUAAUGUCAUAGAAAGCAAACCCAAGCGAUAAAUGUCGAAUCUUUAAUAAAAUACUCAAAUUUAACAAAAUAAUCAACUGGGUAUGCACCUUGGAACCUGACAAAACUCAAAAUAUGAUUACCUAUUCUAAUACGAGUCCAAUCAUACUAAUUUCACUCAAAUCUGACUUUGAAUCGAUGUGCAAAACCAAUUUAUUCACUUUGGAAAAACCACCAAUUUCUCUAAAUAAAACAUGGAUUAAUUAACAAAUCAACUAGUGUAAUCAUGUUAAAAAACAAAAAUUGAGGUUAGAUAUUGACUCCCAUGAAAAUGCGAGAAGAACUCCACGAAACUCACCUCGAUCGAAGCUAUAGUACUCAAGACAUGCUCAAAUUACCAAAAGAACGCAGUUUGAGUUUUUUAAUAUACAGAGAUUCCGCACCUUCGGUUUUCCAGCUGUCAUUUCCACUUCUGCGGAGUACUUUUUGCACAUGCAGGGUCAUAGAUGAGGUCCCCACUUUGCAUCUGCGAAGCACCAACACUAGCUCUCUUCUCCGACCCUAAAAUGGGCAUAACUCCCUCAUAUGAUAUCCAAAUUCGAUGAUUCUUUUUACUAUGGCUCCAUCAUUUUGAUACAAAUAUAAUGCUUUAGUAGAAAACAAUUUAGAGCUCAUUUUCAUAAUGUGAUACCAUUUUAUUCUUGAAGAAACGACGCCGAAAGAUCAAAUACAAGCGCAACACAACCCCAAACAUAUCUGAAACUCACUCGAGCCCCUCGGGAUCCUGUCCGAACAUACCAAUAAAUCCCAAAACAUACCAAGGACCUACUUGAGGCCUCAAAUAUCACAUAACUACAUCAAAACCACGAAUCACACCUCAAAUCAAGCUUAGUGAACUAUAUCAAAUUUUCAAAUUCCAAUCUUACGCCGAACACGUCUAAACAACUCGGAAUCACCUAAAAUUUUGCAAACAAGUUCCAAAUGACGUAACAAACCCAUUCUAACUCCUAGGACAACAAUCCGAACCCAAUAACAUCAAAGUCAACUCCUGGUCAAACCUAUUAACUUUUCAAAUCUUCAAGUUGCAAACUUUCGCCAAAGAGUGCAAAAACCUUCAAGAAACAUCCAAAUACAAAUCCGGGAAUACGCCCAAGUCCAAAAUCACCAUGCGGGCCUAACAGAACCAUAAAAACUCUGAUCAGAGGUCAAAUACACCAAAGUCAAUCUUGGUCAAAUCUUCAAACUCAAUUCUUCCAAAUUGAGAAUCAUUCUUCCAAAUCAAUCCCGAACCACUCGAAAACCAAAUUCGACGAUGCACGCCAGUCUAAUACAUCACAUGAAUCUAAUCAAUAUAUCAAACCCCUGAACUGAAUGCCAAUGCUCAAAAUGACUGGGUGGGUCGUUACAUUCUCCUUCACUUAAACAUAUGUUCGUCCUCGAAUGUGACAAGAGUAGUUCCAAAGACAUUAAAGUGUUGUAUAAACUCAUCACGCACAUACUCAUAGGUGAUCGCACAUCACUCCAAUCCAUAUAAGUCCGACAACACAACCUAACUACAGAUCCUUACACCAGCCUUAGUCCUUAAACCUUAUAACCCAAUCUCAACAUCUGAAAUUCAUUAUUAGAACCAGUUUUUGCAUCUAUACAAUGUAUAAGUGUAAAAGCUUUGUAGAAAUCCGUAACCAUAACCCAAGAUAUAAUCAAAUGAUAUAUCGUGUAACUUAGAUGCUUAUAGUAAUUUCGACCAUAGUAUCUGCUCAAUAACAAACCCGGUACCGGUAGCAAACCACAUAUCAAAUAAAACCUUUCCUAAUCCUCCAAACACUACCAAUUAUAAAAGAAACAUAUAGAAUAUCAUAACCACUCAUUAGAUCAACAAGUCGUGGAGCUCUUCGCCCUACAUGAACCGUAGCCAAAUUCUAAGCUGACUAGUGACAUUAUUCUCCCAAAUAUACCUUAAUCAAAUCCAAUAGCACUCAUUGCAGGUCCAAUAACUUCAUCUCAUCCAUUACAAGAUACUCGACCGACAUGGCAUACCAAUACCACCUAGUGCCACAUACCAUGUAAUCUGUGCACCAAAUAAACAAAAACUCAAAUGUACCCAAUGAUUGAAAGAGAAUUAAAUAAGAGAACCGUCUCGCAAGCUUAACAGAUACCACCACAAAGCACAAUGCUAUGAGCCCAUCGCACAAAGGAGAAACAAAACUCACAAAAUAAGCAUAAAUGAUCAUAUUCCAACAUAACUCUGCUGCGAUGCAUGACCCACUCCAAACGCCGGCCCACAUGGAUUACCUCGAGCCAUGGCGCUCGCAACCAACAACCAUAUUCAUAAAAACAACAAACACACAAAGUGCAUGACCAUAGCGAUGGAGAAAAGGAUGACACAAUAUACCACAAAUAGGAAGACCAUAACAAAAGUGCGACCAACUAUUCAAUACCCUCAAGAGGCAUCUUACUCAAAUUCCGCUACAAGGCCCAAACAGAACCGCAUCAUGUGUGUAAAUAGUCAACAAUAUCACAACUCAUUGUAGCAUAAAAGAUCAAUACGUGGAACAUAUCAGAACACGAAUAGGAUUAACUCUAGUUGAUGAUAAACCCCUCAACAAUAACUGUGUUAAGUAAAUAAAUCCAACCUGAUGUAGAAUACGCAUUCUCAUUAGGCCUACCUGUGGCCUCCAAAUCAAUUCUGAUCCUUCCAAAAUAGGUAGAUAACCUUCCCAAAUAUCCAUUGAAACCUAUCCAUAUCACAUACCAUCAGUCGUCUAACUCUAGCCAUAUCUUCAUAGUCCACAACCAAGGAAUAGUCCACCUCUAAGACUCCCAGUCUCCAAAUAACAAGAAUACAAAAUCUCCAUAUCUGAUCCCGACUCGACCACCCAAAUGACGAACACGUCUCUCAUGCACAAUCAUUUCAUGAGAAAUACUUCCAUAAUUCUUUUCUGGUACAUAGUAAAUCUGAACAUCAGUAGUCGAGCAACCAGAUGAUUACUUUAAUAAUAGUCAAGCAUCUGCAAUUAUUAACACAGUACGCCUUCUGAAGUGAGCAUGCUUCUCAGGUGAUACCAGAUAGUGCUUGCAUUCUUCUAAAGGUCUGAAACUGUCUAUUCCUUCUAGAACUCAUGAUCCUCCCUUCAAAACUGAACCGCAAAUUCGUACAUACAAAUCUCAAUCCAACAAGUCACACCGUAUCUAUCAUGCCAUCGUAGGAAAACACGAGAUUCCCUGUCAUGCUCCGACCUCGGAGAGCGCAACCAGCGCUCCACCGAGAUAAUCCGGUUGAGAAAGCUUGUACAAUACCUUCUAUCCGAACUCACCCAUGAAUAAAGAGAUCUAUUUCAUUAAUUAGACAAUGGGGAGGUCAUGUGAGCUGUAUUUGAAAGUGAUUUCUUGGAAAUGUUUUUGAAAAAAGAUUUGUUUUUAAAAAUAGUUUGAAAAUAUUGUUGGGGGAAGGUUUUGAUAAAUAAUUUUAAAAAUUAUUAUAGGUGGCACAUAUAUGUAUUUUUUAUUCUUGACUAGAUAUGAGUACGGGAACCGCUUUGGUUGAAACCACGUUGGCCAACUGUAUCUCCAUCCAAAGGUAAUCGGCUCGUCCCGUCCUCGUCUUUCUUUUUCGAUGUUUAUCAUCAUCGCCUCUUUAUUUCUGGCCCAGUACGCAGGGUCAUUCGGGGCAUCAUGGCCUCUAUAAUGCGAGGAUUAUUUUCCAAUGGCCUUGGUGUAUUAGAAGCUCACCAUAUCAGUAGCAUCAAACCAAGACAAAUAUUCGUUCAAGAAUGCAUUAUCAACGAUAUUCAAAAUAUUUAUUGUUAUCCUCAAAAGGCAUAUUGUUUCCAUAGGAGAAUUAUAACUAUAUCGUUAAAAUACCACUUACCAUAGAAGAGAUCCAGUCGUAACAAAACCCAAGAUGCAACUAAUCCAACACAACAUUUAUAGCAAGGAUAGUCGUUACUGUGGUCAAGCCAACAUAGAGGUUCAUGAGUGUUUAAAAAAUUAGUUUCGACAACCAAACACCAUUUUAGCAAGAGACAUAGGGGCCAAGAGAAUUCAAACAGUAGUAACCAAAUAUGAAAACAAACCAAAAGAGCCAUAGACGGAUACUUAAUAGUAUAACAAGGUUAAAACCCUAAUGAAAGAAAACGUCAUAGCAACAGUAAUAUAAACGGAGAGUCAUGAAAAGGGUAAGAAACAACUUAAGAAUCGGCCAUGAAUAGAUAUAACAAUAACCAAAGUCCUAUAUGAGUACAAUAGAAAAAAUAAACCAUAACAAUGGCCAAACAACAAUUCUCCGGAGUUUAAUUUUUCCGGCGCCAUAUCUGAUAAAUUUGGGGAGCGUAAAACCAAAACAUGUCAACAAUAGUACGACAAGAUAUGAGAUAUUACGACCAAGAUUUUGGCUGUAGAGGUGUAGCAACGACUCUUAUUAAGCUCGUCGGCCAGCUGGUGGUCAAACCAAGCUACAUCGAACCCAAUAGUCAGCGGCGAAGAGAGAGAGGGAAAGAGGUAGGGAGAUAGGAUAGUGAUGAGGAGUGGCCAUCGUUUGCAGUGGGAUGCCGUUGAGCUUUUUAUAUGAGGCAGUGGUGAAAUCCAUGAUGGGUGGCAGCCAAUUGUCUCUCAAAAGAGAGAGAUGAUAGGCUUUUUGACAGAGGGAUGACUACCUUAUAAUAAUGGGGUAGUGUUAGAGUUUUAGACCCCCUUUAAAAUAAAACAUCUAAUAGUGGGGAUGUGGGUUGUGUAGUUUGUAGAUAGUUUAUAUAAUGGGAUGUGUUUAAAAACAUGUGGUCCUUAUUAAUUUAAAAAUAAAAGGAAAUGUAAAAUAGAAAUAUGUGGCCACAGGUAAAACUACUAAUUCGAAAAAAUUUGCAAAACCACGGCCGGAUACAAUGUACAGUUAUUUUUAUUAUUCGCUUUUAUACAAUGUACUCUUUUUAUUAUUUGACUUUAUACCGUAUACCCUUUUAUUUUAUUUGUGUUUGUAUGUCACGAUAAAAUUAGCUUACGGGAAAGACAAAUCAGUGUGCUUUACCUAUUAGGUAGAAAGUUUAUCCAUUGAGUAGAAGAGAUGUCAUAUCACAUCACAUGUAUUGUUAAGUCAAAUAUCUUAUCAUGUCACAUCAAGUGUGUCAUCACAGCAGGCAUUGAUGGAACAUUAGAUUUUACUUGAUACGAUUCAUAUUUUGAAAUUAAUUCUAACGGCUUCCAUGCAACUAAUAGAUUGUGCUACGGAUUAAAGCAUUAUUAUUUAAAAUUACAAAUAUAGCUUGUAAUACUUAUUAAAAUGUCAACUACUACAACAAUAUUGUAGUAAUUAUUGUUUAUUAUUAUUAUUAUUAUUAUUAUUAUUAUUAUUAUUAUUAUUAUUAUUAUUAUUAUUAUUAGAUAAUACAUUUAUAGAAAAUCCUAAUAUUAGGAAAAUAGGAAAAUUAUCAAUAAAUUAUUUUGAUUUUUGGAUCCUAACAUAGUAUUUUGAUCCUAACAUAGUAUUUAAUUAAUUGCAACAAAAUUAUAAAAGCUACUGUAUUUUCUCCAAAAAUAAAAAUAAUUAUCAAUAAAUUGUAUUAAAGUUAAAAAUGUUCAAAGAAAUGCUAUAUUUUUACUAUGAAAUGACUAGGAAUCCUGUAAAAGUUAAUUUAAAAUAUGGAGGGUCAAAAUUGAGUGUCAACAGCUGCCCCUCUUUGACCGAAGAUAAAGUAUGAGUCUUCGGGCAAUGAUAUUGAUGCGAUUCUCAAUUCUGUCGCGGCAUGACAUAAUGGGGAAUGGGAUGUUUGGAAGAUUGUGACCAAACUCUGGUAUAUGAGUUGCCUACAUAUCUCGUGUUACACGAGAAUCAGGUCGCGUGUAGUUCUGGAAUAUUGAGUACUACUUAUGAAACGUUUCCUCAUGGAGUGGAAGACAUAUGUUAGAGGACAAAACAUUUCGUGUGAUCUCGACAUUGCUUGCAAGAUUGCCCCAGUGUUAGACUGCAGUAACACUGGGACAUGGAUGUUGGGUGAUAAGGGAAUUGGUUUGGAUGGAUUUUGAAGAGGGUGCGGUCGGACUCGGUAUUGAUUUCCCUACAUAUCUCGAAUGUAACAAUAUUGAUUUUUGAUUUUUAAUCCCAAACCUCAAGAUAUGAUAACACUGGUUUUAUUCUGACUAUGAGGGUUCGGAUUGCCUACACACCCCAUGUCAAUGAGACUUAAGGUGAACGAUACUUGGGGACCUGCCACUGAAUAAUGUUGAAAAGCUCGAUGUUUGUCCUAAAAAUCUACCCCUAGUUUAUUUGUUAGAAGAUAAUUCCGCGUUCUGUCGUGUAUUUGAUCAGGAGAGUUGAUGAAAUGUGGGCUAUGCUUCAAUUUAACUUGAGAAAGAUGGAUUGUGGUGGCUUGAGUGAUAAUUGUAUGCGAUGCGAGAAUGAUUUGAUUUUUAUUUUUUGAAUGAAAUAAGGUCCCAAGUUGGAACUCUAAUUCAAAAGGGAUCCGGGCUAAAUACCGGACCAAUGAAAUCCGGACUGUGUACCAGUCCGAAGUGAUAUCAGAGCAUUUGAAUUUUGAAGGAAAUCCGGGCUAAGUAUCAGUCCAAAGCGAUUUCUGAGCAUUAGAAAUGUGAUGAAAAUCUAGGUUGAGUACCGGUCCGAAGAGAUAUCAGAGCAUUUGAAUUUUGAAGGAAAUCCGGGUUGAGUACCUAUCAUGAACCAAAAUCCAUUAAAGGUCGUGAUGGCGCCGGACACCACUGUCACGCAACCAACACUAAAUAGUUAAUUAAAUUCUCAUUUUUAUAUUUUUGAAAUCGUAAAUUUACUUUAAUAUAACUAGUAAAAGAUGAAUUUACAGAAUAAUAACAAUGUUUUCCAAUUUCAAUACUGAACAUCCCAUAAUCAUCCUAGAACCCGGUGUCACAAGUGCGUGAGCAUUUUUUAGGAAUUUAAAAUAAAAUACAAUAACUGUCCGGAAUACAAAUUUUGACAGGAAAGAAUGUACAAUACUCUGAAGGAGACUAUGCUGCCUGCGGGUCAUACAUAAAAUGCAGCUCACCUAAAUCCCCGUAAUAACCCGCCUCUGCGCCCACAAGGCCACUAAUCAUAUAUAUACCUGCACAAAACGUACAACAAGUGUAAUAUGAGUACGUAAAUCAACGCGUACCCAGUAAAUGUCCCGCCUAACCUCGAAGAAGUAGUGACAAGAGGUCGACUCCGACACUUACUGUGGCCAUAAAAAAUAUAAGGUAUAGUAAAGAAGUGAAUGAAUAUGAGACCGAGUAAAUAUAUGAAACAAAAAAGUGUAAAAUACAUGGUACAAUUUUCCUCUUUACAAUUUACUCAAGCUCUCAACUAGUGAGUUCCCUCCGUAACCGGAGCAUAUAUUUAUAGAUGUAGUGGAUCUCAUCAAAGAGGUGGUUGUCAUAAUUCGAAUCGGGGAAAAACCCUCAUAUACACUGGCUUCUUGCCAAAUGUUACUCACUUCCACGAGGAUAAUGUAUAUAUAGGAUAUGCCGAGGCGUACGGCUCGAUCCAAUAUAAAAGUAAAUUGUGCACUGCCGAGGGUCGAACGACGCGAACCAUAGAUGCAUCUAUUAAUUUGCCGAGUCGAACGACCCGCUCCCAUGAGAGUGUGGUACAUAAUUUCUGCCGAGGCAAACAUCCCGAUCCCAUAAGAGUGGAAGAAGGAAAUACCCCGCUCGCGAAUAAUACAUGCGGCACAGUCAAAUAUAAAUUUAAGGAAUUUUCCCGCUUGCGGAUUAUUCUUGAGACGCGGUCAAAUAUAAAUUUAACAUUUAAAAUCAUAUCUCUUUCUUGAUUCUUUUCAAAAUAAGGGAAAUUCAGCUUGUAGCUCUUUAAGAAAAUUACCCCGCUCGCGAAACAUACAUGCAACGCGGUUACACAUAUAUUUCUUAAGUUAUUAUGGUGUUCCUCAAUUCUUUUCAAAAAUACGAAAUUGAAAUGAAAACCUUUAAGUUCCCAACUUUUCCUCAAUUUCAACUCCUUUCGAAACGUUUAAUAAGCUAACUCAAUUUCGCUUCCUUUCAAGGAAAACAAUAAACAUAAAUUCAACAAGAAUAGCAACAUGGCAUGAUGUAAGCCUAAAACUACCAGGACAUAGGCAUAGUUAGUUGCUACGGACGAACUCUCUUCACCUCGUGUGUACGUAGCCCCCACAAAUAGAAUCACAUAAUAAUUUAGUUCACCUAUGGGGUUAAUUCCCUCUUACAAAAGUUAGAAAGGAGACUUACCUUGCUCCAAAAUUCCAUAACCGACUGCAAAGCCGCUCCGACAAUUCAAACUGAUGCCCGUCGCUCCAAAACUAGUCAAAUAUGACGCAACCGAAUCAAAAUAUACUCCAAUACUCAUAAUUAAUCAUUUUAUAAUAAUUUUCAACUCCGUUCGAAAAGUUGAUACAAUCACCCACGUGCCCGAGUUCUGAAAAUUAUCGAAGAUAAACUUUACCCAUAACCCCACGAACUCAAAAAUAUAAUUUAUUCUCCAUUUCAUGCCCAAUUUCGUGAUCAAAAUCCAAGAAUACCAAUUUCUAGGUUUCCUACCAAAAUCCCACAAUUUCUACCAAUUGCCAUGUCUAAAUCCAUAUAUAAACUAUGUAUUUAACUCACAAUGUGCGGGAAUUACUUACCUCAUAAUAGAUGAUGAAAUCUCCUCUUCAAAAGCUCCAAACAUUACCCAACAAAAAUAAAAUGUGGAGGAAAAUGGCCAAAUCCCGUAUAUAAAACUUCACUGCCCAGGUCCGCCCUUCUUCGCGAUCGCGGAAAGACCAUCGCGAUCGCGAAGGCCAAAGACACAUUGUUCCCAACUUUCCUCUUUGCGUUUGCAUUCCUCACGACGUAUUCUUAAAUCUUUCCGCCCUCAUUGCUUUGUUUUCGCAUACCCAGCCUCGCGUCUGCGUAGGCCAAACAUCCUCAGGCCAGUCCUCCAUUCCUUCAACGCGUUCGCAACUCCCCACUCGCGUUCGCGUAGGUUCCUCAAGUUCUUCACCGUGUUCGCGUCUCAACCUUCACGUUCGCGAAGGCCAAAUCCUAGCAGCCUCAAAGUGUCUCUUCGCGAAUGCGGGACUCCCUUCGCGUUCGCGAAGAAGGAAACCAGAUACCAGAUACAGCAAGCAGCAAAUCAUUCAGUUUUGGUCCGAAACCACCCCGAAACACACCCGAGGCCCCCGGGACCCCGUCCAAUCACACCAACUAGUCCCAUAACAUAACACAAACUUGCUCGAGACCUCAAAUCACAUCAAAAUCAAGAAUCGCACCCCAAUUCAAACUUAAUGAACUUUGAAACUUCAACUUCUACUAUCGAUGCCGAAACCUAUCAAAUCACGUCUGAUUGUCCUCAAAUUCUGCACACAUCACAUUUUACAUUACAGACCUACUCCAACUUUCGAAAUCGGAUUCCGACCUCGAUAUCAAAAAGUCUAUUUCCGUUCAAACUUCUCAAAAACCUUCAAAUUUCUAGCCUUAGCCAAAUGACUCCAAAAUGACCUACGGACCUCUGAAUCCCCUUCCGGACGUGCUCCUAAUACCAGAAUCACCAAAUGGAGAUAUUCCCAGACUCGAAAUACCUAACGGACAAUGAUAAUAUUGAAAUGCACUUCAACCCAAAUUUAUGAAAUUCAUCCAAAAUGCCAACUUCCACGAUAGGCACCCAAGCGCUCCCGGGUCAUCCAAAACCCGAUCCGGACAUACGCCCAAGUUCGAAUUCAUCAUACGAACCUGUUAGAACCUUCAAAUCCCGAUUCCGAGAUCGUUUACUCAAAAAUCCAAUCUUAGUAAAUUCUUCCAACUUAAAGCUUCCAAAAUGGGAAUUUUCUUUUCAAAAUUAAUUCUGAAUUUCCGAAAUUUCAGUUUCGACCAUGCAUACCAGUCAUAAUACCUGAAGUAAUGUUGCUCAUGGCCUCAAACUGCUGACCGAUGCUCUAGAGCUAAAAAUGACCAGUCGGGUCAUUACAGUUACGGUCUGAAGCGAUAUCGAAGCAUUUGAAUGUAAAAUUGGUUGGUUGUUAUGGUUUCGAAGUGAUAUUAGAGCAUUUGAAAUUUAAAAUACCCGUAUUAGAAGGUUGGUUCCUGUGAAAACUGUCUUUGAAAUGUAAUGCCCAUUGUUCAGGAGUGUGCCUAAAAAAAGCAAGAAGCUAUUUUUGAAAAUGUAUGAAAAGAGGGAUUCUACUUGACUUUUUAUUUAUUUAUUUAUUGUUUUCUUCAUUUUUGUUGUUUUUGUAACUUUUGUAGAGAAUGUCUGAAAAUUGAGAAGAGUGAAGAAAGACUGUGAUUUAUUUUUCGAUUAUCAUUCUUUUUUUUUGACUUGACUUUGGUUGGUACCAAUAAUUAGUUUUGUGCAUAGGAAUUUCCACCAUAUACUUUCCACCAAAUCGAGAUCAACUUUUGGGUAAUUCAUAUAGCAUCGAGUAGUACUUCAUGUACACCUCAAUAUAGAUAAGAUUUGUUUGUCUUGCUUCAAUCAAAGGUUUUUAAUAUCCUCAUGUUUCAUGUUCCCUCACCAAAAGAAAGUCCUAAUUUUGACACAUUUUUGCAGUAUUCUAGUUUUUAGGACAUUUUGAAAAGUACACUCACAGUUAGAAAGAUGUUCAAUGCAUGUAGUUGAGAUACCAUAGGCUUGACCUUUAUGUUAGUAUCCACUAAUGUGAGAACACUUGGAAUAGGAUCAUGUAGGACUUAUUAUUGACUUGUAAUGUAGGCUCGGGGACGGAUAAGAUAUUUAUUUGGGAUAAAAGUGACUAAUUCCUCCUUGAGCACUGCUUUGUAUCUGUGUCUUCGGCGCUUGAUCUUUGUUUUGCUAGAUGUCCGUUUCUUUGGUUUGACUUCUUUUAACUUGUCAUGUUUUUCGAGGUUUUUCUUCCUUUUUCUUUUUGAGGUUUCCCCUUAUUUUCUUGGAGUUCCCCACUUUCUUUCUUUUUUGUUGUGGAGUUUUUCUCCCUUUUUGUCGGAUCUUCUACUUGAACUUAUGGAAGUUUCCUCCUUUAUUAGGUUCUCCUUUUGAUUUUGUGGAAGUUUCCUCCUCUUGUUAGAUCCUCCUUUUAAACUGUGGAGUUUUUGCUUUCUUGCUUGAAGUCAUGUGAUGACCUAAGUGAUCGUCUUAUGUAUUGUAGACUCGUUCCCUGUUUAUUGUUUAUUCUAUCUUCUCUUGUGGAUAUGUGACUUUCUAGAGUGGUUGGUUUGGUUCCAGAGAUGUUUCGGAGUGAAUUAGGACAACUAGUCCCAAGGUUGGAAGCUUAAGUUAGAAGAGUUGAUCGGAUGUUGACAUUUAUGUAGACGAUUUCAGAAUGGGGUUUUGAUGGUUUUAUAGCUUCAUAUGGUGAUUUUGAACUAAAGCGUAUAUCCGGAUUUGGAUUUGGGGGUCUGUAGGUCAUUUUGGCUUAGAAUUGGCAAAAGAUGGAAAGUUGAAGGUUUAGAUAGUUGAGAAGUUUAACCGAGAGUUGACUUUGCUGAUACCGGGCAUGGAUUUGGGUUCCAGGAGUUGAAAUAGGUCCAUUGUAUCAUUUAUGACUUGUGUGCCAAAUUUGAGAUAAAGUGGUGUUGGUUUUGUAUGAUUCGACGUUAGUUUAGAAGUUGGAAGUUCAUCAGUUCAUUAGGCUUGAAUUGGGGUGCGUUUCGUGAUUUUAAUGUUGGUUGAUGUGAUUUGAGGCUUCGACUAUGUUCACAUCAUGUUUUAGGACCUGUUGGUAUGUUUGGAUGGUGUCCAUGGGGCCUCGAGUGUGUUUCGGAUCAAGUUCUCACUCAUUUUGGACUUGGAGGAGUUGUUGAUUUCUGUGGAUCUAGUUUCCUCUUCCGCGAUUGCGAGAAGAGGGAUGCGUUUGUGAAGGGUUAAUUUCAGAAAGUGGGCAUUUGUUCAACGCAUUCGUGAGUCACAAAAUGCAAUCGCAGAGAUUUUGUUAUUUGUGCAUCGCGAACGCAGGAAAUGGGACGUAUUCGCGAGGAAGGAAGGUGAGGCCUGGAAGUUGCACGCGUUUGUUCUUUGCGAUCGCGUGUGUUUGUCUGCGGUCGCGUAUGUGUGAGUUGCUAAGCAUCGCAUUCGCAACUAGUAGUUCGUGUUCACGUAAACCAUUUUGGAAGGGCAGUGAUUUUUGUUCUUCGAUAUCGCGAGGGACUUUCCGCAAGUGCGAAGAUGAACAUCUUGGCGGAAUAUUAAAAACCCAAAUCGAGGGUUAGAGUAUUAUUUUCAUAUUUGGAGUUGUAGAGCUCGGUUAUGGGCGAUUUUGGAGAGGAUUUUCAUGUCUUGGAUCGAGGUAUGUGUUUUGUACUUGGUUUGUCAUUAUUUCAUGAUUCCAUCUUUGUUUUAGCAUUUAAUUAGUGAAUUAUAGAGAAGAAAUGAGGGAACUUGUGGAAACUUUGCAACAAUGAAAAAUGGAGGUUUGAAGGUCGAUUUGAGGUUGGAAUUGAAUGAUUUUGAUAUGGUUGGACUCGUAAUUGAAAGGGUAUCCGGUAUUUGUGAAUUUUGCCAAGUUUUGAAGUGAGGGCCCGGGGUUGACAUUUUGGGUUGAUUUUUUGAUUGAGUUAAACAUCUUAGCUUCAUCUUUUUAAAUGACUUCCAAUAGCUUUUACUGAUAUUAUUCUGUUAUUUUUGCUAGAUUCGAGCCUUCCGGAGGUUACGCACGGGAAGGGCUUAUUAGUAGAGUGAUUGGGUUUGCUUGAGGUAAGUAUCUUGUCUAAACUUUGUGGAGGCAUUAGUUGCCUGAAUUAUUUGUGAUAGCUACAUGCUAUAGGUUGCGCAUAUGUGUGGGGUUGAGACAAUAUGUGUGUACCAGGGUACUAUUUCCAUACUCGGGGUAGUGCUUAAGUUAUGACAUGCCUUGAAAUGAUAGCUAAGUUUCAAUUUGAGAUGUUUCUCCUAUUCGUACACCUCUAUGAGCUAUUUGUACCAUAUUUGAGAUUUUGUUGAGGUUAUUCUUCCGUUUGAACCUGAUAAACUGAUAUUUCUUGACGGAAAUUGUUUGUUCUAGCUGUGAUAGUACACAUUGCACAUGCCUACUAUAUAUCAUGUUAUUUAUACAAGUCCAGGAGUAUGAAACUUGAUAAUCAUUAAUCAUGUUCAUGUAUUCCCGCAUAUUUUCUUUCUAUGUGUUAUGAGCUGGACUGGUACCGUGUAACCACGCCGGGUGGAUUGUAAUUAUAUGAAUGUGAGUUGUCCGUGCGACUAAUUCUAUUAACACGUGAGUUGUUCCUGCAACACAUGAAUUGUCCUAGCAGAUCCAGUUAUUGAUAUUAUUAGCACGUGAGUUAUCUAUGCAACACGUGAGUUGUCUAUGCGGUUGAUUCUAUUAGCACAUGAGUUGUCCUUGCAACAUGUGGAUAUGGAUCCAUCCCCCUAGGGUCACCCUCUAAUAUUUCUCUCUCGAUGGUGUACACAUGGUUAUUGAGGAAAACUGAUCAGUAGUUUGGUACGGAUAUACAGAAAGGUUGAGGAAAGUCUGGCCAGUUUUAUUUUGGAAUUGCAUUUCAUCUUUACUUGCAACUUCCAUGGUUUAUUAUCUAAUUAUCGGCAUAUCAUCUUAUAUGUUGUACCCGUGAUUGAACAAAGAUUUUGAGUUGUCAAGCCCCAAACAUGGGGAGGCGUGGCCGGCACUCGGUGCCAUACUCGGUCCGAGCGUACCACUCUAUAACUGUAAACUUUAGAGGGGUAUCCCUCAACUUAGGCCGACAAGGUCUUCCUACAUGCUGACAAUACCAAUCGAGGUCGAUGGGGCCAUAUUUUUAAUCAUCUGAAAAUAACAUCUCUCUUAUUUGAGGGGUAAACAUACCCAAAAGCUCAUAUACAUAAUUGUGCAGGCCGACGAGGUCACCAUGGAUGUCUCCAACCAGCAAUACCAAACUGAACAUAUACACUGGGCUGGAAAGGCAACAAUACUAAUAUACAAAAUACACAGAACUCAUCUACAAGCCUCUAGAGAUAACUGAACUGUAUCAUGGUUGGGACAGGGCGUCGACCUACCCAGCAAACCUAUAUAUAUAUAAAAGGGACUCCAAGGUCUAGACAUGGUAACUCCGAGCAAGUGGAGCUUACCAACCAAGGUGUUGUUUGACUCUAUCUUGUGGGAAGGUCUAUCUAGCUGUUUAUCAAGACUUGCAGGCAAGAAAUGCAGCAUUCCCGACAAAAAGAACGUUAGUACGAAAUAAUGUACCGAGUAUCUAAGGCAACAAAUAACUGAAAGCUGAAACUGAACUGAUAAUAGAAUAACUAAGAGUAACUGGCAGUCAAAGAUAAUCUGAAGAUAUGCUUACCUACUGGUACUGACUCAACUCUCUCAAUAUAGUAAGUAAAAUAGAUGUCCAGUGCUAUAAGGCUCGGUAUGUGUAACUACUCUAUCAUAGUAGGCUCGCUUAUAGGCGCUUCGCCAUACUAGGAUAUUUAUCUCGGCCAUUCUGGGCUUGCUCAUAGGUGCUCAGCCACAAUAGGAUUGAUAUAUAACUUAACAUAUGAUCAGAGGUUGCCCAAUAGGGGCCUGCCCACCGAUUAUAGCUCGAUCGUGGUGAAAAUACUGUAGUGCUACACAGUAGGUGCCUACCCACCAAUUAUAGCUCGAUGGUGGUGAAAAUACUAUAAUACUGUAUCUAUAUUGACUGGAAGAAGAUAAUACUUAACUUAAUAGAAAGUCCCCCAAAGGGAGAAUACUAUAACUUAUGAGACUAGGAUAAUGUGAAUAAAUUCCGGAAUACGAACUUCUCUUUAUGUCUCGUUAUCAAACACAUGUAGUUACGAGAUCUUGUCAAAAUAAAGAAAAGAUUUAGCCUUAACAUACAUUUUCACAAUCUAUCCAAUAACCACGUUGAACUCAUUUUGUUGCACCUUAAUCUACAACAACGAUAACAAUACUAUCAUCAAGUUACGGAAGGUACAACUAUCACACAACGAACGACAAACUUAUUUUAUAAUAAAGUGGGCAGCAUCUCCCCUCUAAUCUUUAUUUCCUCCCAAUUUAACAUAACACCAACAACAACAAGAACAUAGCAAUAACAACAUGUAUACAUCAUUUUACAACCUUAUAUCUAUCACAAAAUACCACAAAACUGCCCACAUUCCCCAAUCAGUUCAUACACAAAACUACAAACCUAGUAGUGUCAAACAACCCGAAAGUGUAAUGAUGAAUGACCAGCCAACCACCCUGUCAUUAUGUGGUGUUUCUCCACACCCUUUCUCCUCCCAAACUCCAUAAAAACAGUAUCAAAAUAGACAACCCAACUCCAACACAAAACAACCCACAAAACAGUCCCACAAGUUCAGCAACUCAAAACUGAUUUUUCAGUUUACUAAAACAUGUUUCGACUUGUCUUUUCUUUCAAAUUGAGCAACACAACCAACAAUACAUAAUUUUGCCUCUUAUCCUAUAAAACAACCAUGAAUUUAACUUAAAAAUAUGUUCACAACCAGCCAACAAUGACGCAAUAAUAAACAAUAUACCACUCUUUUGCAACUCGCUAGGUCUAGUGUUUACGAUCUUGUUAUAACUCGUAGAAGCAUAGAUAAUGGAAAGAGAAGCAUAAAUUUACCUUGGACUGAGUAGAACCCACGAAGACUAGUCCUUAUUUAUCCGAAAUGAGUCCCCCAACGCAGCUACAAGAAGGAGAAAGAGAAACUAGGAAGUUGUCCGGGGUUUUCUCCACUAGAAUAAUAUUGUAUCACCCGAAAUUACCUAGGGUUUGUGUGGGAUUUUUGGAGAUAAUUUGCAGGGGUUCAAUAUGAUUUUUUUUGGUUUGAGAAAGGAGUGAAAUAAAUGAGCUAAUAAGUCCUUAAAAGACCCCCUCUUGGCCUCCCCUCUCUUGUCACUUUAGGAGCUUUUAAUUGAGGCCUCUCCUUUUGAAUAGUAGGUGAUACACCUACUUGUCACCUACCAGUCUUGCAAAGAUGAAAAUAUCUAUCUCCUCUAAUGUUAUAUCAAUAAACGGUUUAAUCCUAUAAUAACUAGACUCGUAGAUCUUCAAUUUGGUGGGAAGAUCAUCCCGUAAUUCCAAGUACAUUGGGAGAAAUGCUCAACUACAUUUGACCUAAUUUUAAGCAUAUUUAUGAAUGUAACUUGUGAUGACCUUUGCCAACUUUUGUUUCACAACUCGCUUUACUUCAAAACAUAACACACGAGUAUCAUAAGACUAAAAUAACUCAUAACAUAACCUCCUUAUCAUUUUGAGCACCCUAGUCUCAUCCCAAAAGUACAUGUUAUAAUAUUCCCAACUUGUUGACUUUCAACGAAACUUUUUUUUUUCAAUUUGUUUAGCUUCUAAGUCAUCCAACCCUCUUGGUACUUGUUAUUAAUGAUCUUAAAUAUUUGCAACCUCCAAGGUAACAUGAUUAACUUACAUUAUAUUUUUUUAAAGAGGAUCUCAUUUACGAGCUUACUUCAAUUGACUGACGACGUACUUUUGCGUACAAAAAUAUGGGGUGUAACAUAAUUCCCUCCUUUGGAACAUUCAUCCUUGAAUGUUGACUGGUGCGCUUAUCAGUCUUAUAACCUAUAGCUUUUAUGAAUAGUUUAAUAAUGUCCUUGCCAUCUAGGCAACUGUUCUGUGAAUAAUUCCAAUGGCUAGGGCAUUUACCCCUUUAGGCCUCUUUCCCACACCACAAUAUGUAGUCGGAAUUUUUCCAAUCUCGUAACUGUUGCCACCUUCUGUCAUGCAGCCUGUACGACUCUGUCUUUGUAUGUGCGCCUAUGCGACUCUUCUCUCCUUUUUCCUCCAGCUUUUACUGAAUCUCUAUGCCUCACUCUGUGAAAGCAUACAAUCAUAUGACAAGCUGUCCCUCUGGGCAUCUAGUGGUGUAAUGAAGUUCUUCGCUUAGUACUUUGUCAAACUUACGACUAUUGCUAUAUCUGGUUUAAUAGCCUCAAUUAUCUAUACAUAUGUCUUUACUACAUCAAGGUAGGUCAUAUUAUACCAUAACACUUACUUCCGUUUAUUAUUACCGAGGUUUGCUACCUAACUUUAGGUUACUCGUUGCUUAUCCUAUAUGUAUAAAUCUAAGUCCUUUAAUGCUUCAUAAUUAUUUUUCAUGUUAAGAAUGACAACCUAAUCUUAUCUCAUACUUUGGAACUUUUAUCCAUAUAUUGUUGAUUCACCUUAAUGUUGAUCUAUAAUCUACCACUGAUAACAUGAAUUUUCUUACGUAACACUGUCACUAGGGCUCAAGUCUAAUCGGGGAACAUCUGAAGUGAUUAGCCUGAUCCUCCUAGGGGCGAUACUAUGCUUCAAUAACCAUAUUUCAUAACAUCCCAACGUGAUUCAUCUUAUGGGGGUUUUCUAAUCUUGUGUAGUUCAUGAAAUCCCUUUUCUUUAAAUCAUUACUCAAUCAAAUGCCUAAAUGUCAUUCUCUUAUCAUUUAUCACAAUUAAACUAUCACUCUACUACCAAGACACCAUUCCAUCUUUUCUAUUUAUACUACUUGCAACCUUUCUUUAAAUUGCUAGCACCAUAGAUUUUCUUAUGUUAUUCUAGAACCUCAAGUGAGACAUCAUGUCAUCUCUAAAUCUUCUUUACUCUCUUAACUAGACCUUUCGGUACCUGAAAACCAUAGGCUGGAAGAUAUGUCACCGACGACACCACUAUCAUUGCUGGAUACUAAAUCACGGUGUUUCUAGCCCUCUAUAUGAAAUCUGGACUAUUCAUAACCUUCCGCACUUAAGUAUCUCGUACCUUCUUUACCUUUACCUUUCUUAUCUUUAAAUUUGGCAUUGUAUCUUCUGUCGCUUUCAUAACCUUCUUUCCACAUAGGUGGAAUUCACGUCCAUAACUUAAAGAUCCACAAUAGUACUUGCACAUCCGAUGCAUACACAUUUCGACGGGAGCUUCAUACUGACUUCUUAUGAGGCUGGUACUCUUCUAACUGGCUUUAUCCUAGAGCCGUUAUACAAUAUGGCUGUUGUACUAUCUCUCUUGUACCUCUGAUAUUAAGAGUGAUUCUGCAAUGUUCUUAAUCACGAUUCCUAUAAUAAUUUGGAUCUAAUAAUCAGAAUCCUCAUUUACUUAGUUGAUGUAACUCUUUAGAUUCCUCUUCUCUCUCAGCCUUUAAGUAGGCUUAAGAUAUCUUUUGAUCUGUGGCUCAAGGUAUUAGUUAUUACAUUAGCCUUUCGUGGACGCUAUGGAACAUACAUGAUAUAACCUUCUAACAAUUCAAGCCUUUGUUUGUGACGUGGACUCAAUUCUUUCUUUUAAAUUAUACUGGACUCUUCUAUAGUUGCAUGAAUGACAACAUAUAUGCUGCAUGGAUAAUACUAUGAAUCUUAAGUGCGUUCAUAAUGUAACUAAAUCUGGGUCAUUCAUCGAAUAAUUCCUUUCGUGCCUUCUCAGCUUUCUUUAAACAUAAGCAAUUACUUAUCCUGGUCUUUCUAGCAGUUGUUGCAUGAAUACUUAGGCUUAACUUAGUUCCCACGCAUGGUGGAAUAUUUUACAACUCAUAUGAUCAUGAAUAUUACUUUUGUUUACUUUCCGUUCAUUAGCCACGAUAGGUACCACUUUCUUAGUGAGUGCAUACAAUAUUGUAGUGAGAUUGUUGUUAAAAAACCAUUUCUUCUUUAGGUUACUAUGCUUAGGUUGAAGCGUUCUUCCUUAUUUCCUCAGCUAAUAUUUUGUGGUAGUACUUAGGGAAGACUCUCUAACUCUUGUAAAGCUGCAAGUUUAUUACAUCAUAUACCCGACAGAAUUUCUGAUGUUCUUACUCACUUAUAAAUAUCCUUAGUUACAUACCUCUAUGCCAUUGUUCUCAUAGGGUUACUUCUGAACUCAAAUAUUUUUUGUUGUUUCCCCCGUGGCACUAUCGUUUAUUUCCGAAACACUUAUACGGCAACUAUAACUACCUCAACUCCUAUCUGAAUAUUUCUCAAGGAUUACAAUGUCGUAUCUGCGAGACUGAAUUCCCUAUGUUAGGUUUUACUAGGUUUAUCUUGCAUGAUAUGUUGAUUUAUCUGUAUCCUGUUGUCUAGCCAUAACUAGGCUCUUCCUGAAUCAACUACUAACUACUCAUUGGUCCAUUCUCAUAUCUAUAUUUUGGGUAAUCUCUCUUGGGUUGUUUCCUUUGUCUUAACAGACCUCUCACACUGGCUCCUUAUGUAUCAAGUGUUCAUUCGCACUUAUUUAUCAAUAACAUCCUUGGAGAAACCCUUAAUGCAUUGCUCCGCCAUCGUGCUUGCAUAAUGUUCUAGAGUCAUAACAUAUCUGUAGGAUCUGAAUAAAUGCAAUCUCAUCCCUUGCGCCUUUUUACCACAUUCAUCCUUUACUAUUCCAUAGUUACCUCUUCAUAUUUGGCAUCGUUUCACAUCUUCACUGACUCUUACUCGCCUUGUGGUUACCCUUCUUUGCCAAGAAUAACUGAAUUCCUUACGCACGAGGGUGACACCUAGUGUAACUGGCACACUUAGUCCCUUAAGCUUAACUCUGCUCACACUGCUUGUUUUAGGGAAGUAUAUUCUUGAAUGACCUUUAAAGGUUAUUCUUCUGUUGUCCAUUCAAUUUUUGUCGGAACGCGGUCUCUGAAAUUCUCAUGAUGUCGACUAUUAUCAAAACCUCUGGUCCCUAAUUCAUGUUCAAUUUAUCUUGUUUACUAGCCUAUGUUGAUUUCUAUUACUCCGGGGGUCUAACUUAGCCUUCUGCUAAUUACGUUGGAGUCGCCAACNNNNNNNNNNNNNNNNNNNNNNNNNNNNNNNNNNNNNNNNNNNNNNNNNNNNNNNNNNNNNNNNNNNNNNNNNNNNNNNNNNAUUAUCACCCAUUUAUCACAUAUUAAUCACAAUGCUUCAAUUACUAUCUUUUCAUUUUCCUGCUAAUAUUUUUGUCUAUUACCUUAUUUUGAAAACUACAACAAAAGUUUCUUUUGUUUUUAGCUCCCCUUGCCCCAUCUCACUAGCUCUUCGGGUCGCCUAACAUUCUCUUUUUACCAGGGUCAUGAGUCAUACUAAGGAAAUAGUUAUCCCUUCUAGGAUUACAAUGCUUAUCUUCUAAAGUUUUUGAACAUUCUAGUAUUCAUAUCCGACUGUUCUAUUCUAGUUUGCACCAUCUGGGUGUCUCACAAGGAGAAGUAUUACCACGUUUGCAAUAUCCUUCAAAACUGUAAUCUAGUGCUAACAAUCCAUCCACUAUUUUGGUUUAUUCUAACCCCAUCUGGAUCCUGAUAUCCAAUCCUUCUCGAACACUAUAUUUGUUAGCUCCCAUAGGGCAUAACUGAGAUGGGUGUGGCAAAGUGUAAAUACCUAUGUUACUAUUGAAGGUAACUCAGAAUGCUUAUAUUUCUCCUCCAUAAUUGAAAAUACUGAUAAUAUUCACUAAUUUGGUACCUCGUCCGCUCCUUCGCCUUGCUUUUGUUACCAAUUGAAACUUAUUCUCUCACCUUCUGAUACUUCCAUGGCCUGCUAUUCACGAGUUGUGCUUGAUAUUCCCAUCAUAGGGUCUUAAGCUGGAUAUUUUCACAUCUGGUACGCAUAAUUUGAUAGUGCCUCAAAUAGGGCCACAUCGUCAAGAACUCUCUCUCUAUUAGUGCCCUUACCUGUUGUUGUAUUAGCCCUCUGGCUAGCUGAAAUCUUCAUAAUUGCAAACAUCUCUGCAUCAUUAGCAAACAAAAGUCGUGACUCAAACUCUUAUGACUCAGCUCUAUAACACAAUUUGGAUUUGAAAGAAGGGUAACAAACUCCUAAAUGCCUAGUAGCUUCCUGUUUAUAUAAUGUGAUGCACAAUACUUCUAUAAACAAAGCUCUACUAGAGAUGGCUUGUAGACACCCUAGGAGAACUGCUCUGAUACCAAGUUUGUCAUGCCCCAAACUCGGGGAGGCGUGGCCGACACUCGGUGCCAUACUCGGUCCGAGCAUACCACUCUAUAACUGUAAGCUCUAGAGGGGUUUCCCUCAACUUAGGUCGACGAGGUCUUCCUGCAAGCUGACAAUACCAAUCGAGGCCGAUAGGGCCAUAUUUUGAAUUAUCUCAAAAUAACAUCUCUCUCAUUUGAGGGGUAAACAUACCCAAAAGCUCAUAUACAUAACUGUGCAGGCUGACGAGGCCGCCAUGAAUGUCUCCAACCAGCAAUACCAAACAGAACAUAUACACAGGGCUGGGAAGGCAACAAUACUGAUAUACAAAAAACACAGGACUCAUCUACAAGCCUCUAGAGAUAACAGAACUGUAUCAUGGCCGGGACAGGGCGUCGACCUACCCAUCAAACCUGUAUAUAUAAAAUGGUCUCCAAGGUCUAAACUUAGUAACUCCGAGGAAGUAGAGCUUACCAACCAUGGUACAGUUUGACUCAGUCUUCUGGGAAGUCUAUCCAGUUGUCUAUCGGGACCUGCAUGCAUGAAAUGUAGCGACCCCGGCUAAAGGGACAUUAGUACGAAAUAAUGUAUCGAGUAUGUAAGGAAAUAGAAUAACUGAAAUCUGAAAACAAAACUGAUAAUAUAAUAACUAAAAGUAACUGGCAGUCAAAGAUAAUCUGAAGAUAUGCUUACCUACUGGUACUGACUCAACUCUCUCAAUAUAGUAUGUAAAUUAGAUGUCUGGAGCUAUAAGGCUCGGUACGUCUAACUGCUCUGUUGUAGUAGGCUCGCUCAUAGGCACUCUGCCAUACUAGGAUAUUUAUCUCGGCUAUUAUGGGCUUGCUCAUAGGCGCUCAACCUCAUAGGGUCCCACCGUAGAGUUCGUAGCCUAUGAUUUCAGCAAAAGAAGCUACACCACCCGCACAACCAGCUCGAGGUGGGGCUCAGUCAGUUCAAGGCUACCCUAGAUGGGUAGGGAGAUCAGGCGGUGGUCAGGCCCGUUGCUACGCAUUUCUAGCCAGGUUAAAGGCAAUUGCCUUCGAUGCCACAGGGAUGCUUUGGUAUUAUUUGAUCCUAGUUGCACUUAUUCAUACGUGUCAUCAUACUCCGCUUGUUAUUUGGAUAUGCCACGCGAUUCUUUAGUUAUGCAUGAUCAUGUAACUACAUCGAUGGGUGAUUCUAUUAUUGUGGACCGUGUAUAUCGGUUGUAUGUGAUGACUAUUUGGGGAUUAGAGAAGAUAGUUGAUCUUUUACUACUUAGCAUGGUUGAUUUCGAUAUGAUUUUAGGCAUGGAUUGAUUAUCACCAUGUCACGCUAUUCAAGAUUGUCACGCUAAGACAGUGAAGUUGGAAAUGUCGGGUUUCAUAGGGAUAAGUGGAGAGGUUCCUUGGAUUAUGUUCCCAGUAGAGUAAUUUCAUAUUUGAAGGCUCGACAAAUGGUUGGGAAGGAAUGUCUAGCAUAUUUGGCCUUUGUGAGGGAUGCUCUGAUGCUCCUACAGUUGAGUCAGUUUCGGUAAUGAGAGACUUCCCAGAUGUGUUUCCUGUAGACAUACCGGGCAUGCCACCAAAUAGGGACAUUGAUUUUUGUAUUGACCUUGUGUCGAGCACUUAUCUCAUCUCUAUUCCUUUGUACCGUAUGGCACCAGCAGAGUUGUAAGAAUUGAAGGAACAAUUUCAGGAGCUACUUGAUAAGGGAUUCACCAGGCCUAGUGUGUUGCCUUGGGGUGCACAUCGAUCAAAUUUGUGAAGAAGAAUGAUGGUACUAUGCUGAUGUGCAUUGAUUUUAGGUAGUGGAACAAAGUUACAACUAGGAACAAGUACUCACUACAAUGCAUUUAUGACUUACUUGAUCAGCUUCAAGGUACUAGAGUGUUCUCUAAGAUUGAUUUGAGGUCUAGGUAUCACCAGUGACGAUUUGUGAUUAUGACAUUCCAAAGACGGCAUUCAAGACCCGUUAUGGUCACUACGAGUUUCUUGUGAUGUCAUUUGGGCUGACCAAGGCCCCAGCAGCCCUUAUGCACCUGAUGUACAGUGUUUUUCAGUGAUAUCUUGAUUCUUUCAUCAUAGUGUGCAUUGAUGGUAUAUUAGUGUACUCAUGCAGCCAGAAAGAUCAUGAGCAGCAUCUGAGGAUUGUACUCCAAACAUUGAGGUAGAAGAAGCGAUAUGCUAAAUUCUCAAUGUGUGAGUUUUGGUUCGAUUCGGUGGUGUUCCUAGGCUACGUGGUAUCUAGUGAGGGCAUCAAGGUAGAUCCAAAGAAGAUUGAGGUAGUUCAGAGUUUGUACGGACCGUCUUCAACUACUGAGAUUCGGAGUUUUCUUGGUUUGGCAGGUUAUUACCACAAUUUUGUAUAGGGCUUCUCAUCUAUUAUUGCUCUUUUGACUAGAAUGACCCAUAAUGGUUCCCCAUUCAGGUGGUUGGAUGAGUGUGAGGAAAGAUUUUAGAAGCUAAAGGCUGCAUUGACUACAUCUGCAAUGUUAGUAUUGCCUACGGUUUAGGAUCUUACACCGCGUAUUAUGAUGUGUCGCGUAUUUGGCUUGGCACGGUGUUGAUGCAGGACGGUAGGGUGAUUGCCUACGCGUCUCGGCAGUUGAAGGUUCAAGAGAAUAAAUACCACGUGCAUGACUUAGAGUUGGCAACUAUUGCUCACGCAUUGACGAUUUGGAGGCACUAUAUAUAUAAUGUUCAUUGUGAGGUCUAUACUGACGAUCGGAGUCUCCAGCACCUGUUCAAGCAGAAGGAUCUUAAUUUGCAGCAGUGGAGAUGACUAGACUUUUUGAAAGACUACAAUAUCACUAUAUUAUAUCAUCCGGGGAACGCCAAUGUAGUGGCCGAUGCAUUGAGUAGGAAGGCAGAAAGUAUGGGCAGUUUACAUAUUUACCAGUAGUAGAGAGGCCACUAGACAUGGUUGUUCGGGCCUUGGCCAAUCAGUUUGUGAUUUUGGAUGUUUUAGAGCCUAGUCGGGUUCUUGCAUGCAUUAUGGCAUUGUCAUUUUUGUUGGAGUGAAUCAAGGCUCGGUUUGAUGAUCCUCACUUGUUAGUGUUGAAGGAUACGGUUUAGCGGGGUGGUGCCGAGGAGGUUGUGAUUGAUGAUGAUCAUGUUAUGCGGCUUAGAGGUAGGAUUUGUGUUCCUAAUGUUGAUGGAUUGAGAGAUUUAAUCCUUCAGGAGGCUCACAUCUCCUGCUAUUCCAUUCACCCAAAUGUCAUAAAGAUGUACUGUGACUUGAAACAACACUUUUAGUGGUGGAGAAUGAAGAAUGAUAUCAUUGCUUAUGUCUCUCGAUGUUUGAAUUGUCAACAGGUGAAGUAAGAGCAUCAGAAACCAGGAGGGCUGAUUCAGAGAUUGGAGAUACCUGAGUGGAAGUUCGAGCGCAUCACUAUGGAUUUUGUAGCAGGCUUGCCACGAACCUUGAAGAAAUAUGAUGCAGUUUGGGAUAUUGUGGACCAGUUGACUAAAUCAGCAAACUUCAUUCCAGUGGUGACUUCCUACUCUGCAGAGCGGUUAGCUUAGAUUUACAUCCGGGAGAUUAUCUGCUUGCACGGCGUGUCCAUUUCCAUCAUUUCUAACUGAGGCACACAGUUCACAACGUAGUUGUAGAAAGCAGUUGAGUGAGAGUUGGGCACACGGGUUGAAUUGAGUACAGCAUUUCAUCCUCAGACGAACGGGCAGUCCGAGCACACUAUUCAAAUCAUGGAGGAUAUGUUACGUUCCUAUGUUAUGGAUUUUCGAGGUUCAUAGGAUUAGUUUCUUCCGUUAGCAGAGUUCGCCUACAACAACAACUUCCAAUCGAGUAUCCAUAUGGCUCCAGAUGAGGCCUGAUAUGCGAGGAAAUGUCGUUCUCCAGUUGGUUGGUUUGAGCCAGCAGAGGCUAAGUUCUUGGGCACUGACUUAGUCUGUGAUGCCUUAGAGAAGUUAAAGUUUAUCCAGGAGCGGCUCCGUACAGAGCAGUCCAGACAAAAGACCUAUGCUGAUAGAAAGGUUCCUGAUGUGGAAUAUAUUGUGGGUGAGAAGGUAUUGCUAGAGUUUCACCCAUGAAGGGUGUGAUGAGGCUCGGGAAGAAGGACAAGUUGAUCAAUAGGUAUAUUGGUCGUUUUGAGAUGCUUGAUAGAGUUGGAGAGGUGUCCUAUAAACAUGCAUUGCCACCUAGUGUAUCGGGUGUCCACCCAGUGUUUCACAUUUCUGCUCUUCGGAGGUAUUAUAUUGAUCCCUCACAUAUUUUCGAGUUCAGCACACUACAGUUAGAUCGAGAUUUGACUUAUGAUGUGGAGUCGGUGGCCAUUUUUGAUCGGUAGGUUUGAAAGUUGAGGUCAAAGAAUAUAGCAUCAGUGAAAGUUCACUGGAGAGUCAUCCAGAUGAGGAGGCUAAUUAGGAGGACGAGCAGGAUAUGAGGGGCAGUUAUCCACACCUAAUUGAGACUCCAGGUAUGAUUCUAGAUCCGUUCGAGGAUGAACGUUUGUUAAAGAGGGGGAGAAUGUAACGACAUGCCUAGUCGUUUUGUGUAUUGUAGCCUCAUCCCUGUUUAUUGCUUCUUCUAUAUUUAUUUGUGGUUAUGUGACUUACCAUAGUGAUUGGUUUGGUCCCGGAUAUGUUUCGGAGUGAAUUUGGACACUUUGUCCCACGGUCAAAAGUUUAAGUUGAAGAGUUGACUGGAGUUUGAAUUUUGUGAAAACGACUCCGUAAUAGAGUUUUCAUGGUUUCGUUAGCUUUGUAUGGUGAUUUUGGAUUUCGACAUAUAAUGCUGUUUUGGAGGCCCGUAGGUUGAUUUGAUAAUUUUUGGCGAAAUUUGAAAAGUUAAAGGUUUGGAAGGUUGAGAUGUUUGACCGAGAUUUGAGUUUGUCGAUAUCGGGUUCGGAUUUUAUUUUCUCGAGUUGGAGUAGGUCCGUUUUAUUAUUUAUGACUUGUGUUAAAAAUUUGAGGUCAUUAAGAAUUGAUUUGAUAUGAUUCGUCAUUUGUUUUAUAAGUUGGAAGUUCAUUAGGCUUGAAUCGAUGUGUGAUUUCUGGUUUUGGUGUUGUGUGAUGUGAUUUGAGGCUCUGAGUGAGUUUGUAUUGUGUAUUAGGACUUGUUGCGAUGUUUGGUCGGGGUCGGGGGCUUCCCGGGUGUUUCAGAUGGUAAGCAUAUCAUGUCGGACUUGGGGAUGAUGGCUGGAGGCUGGUGACGUUGGGUCUAAUCGCACAUGCGGUGGGCUUGGCCGCAGAUACGGAGCCGCAGGUGUGGCUGAAGGUUCGCAUAAGCGAAGAUAGGUGCUCAGGGAAAAGUCCACAGAUGCGGACAAUGGACCGCCGGUGCGGAAGGUGAGCUAGGCAGAGGAGUCCACAGAGGCGGACGUAUGUUCUUAGAAGUGCAUACACAUGUGCGAGGGAAGGUCUGCAGAAGUGGUAUAUGUCUAGAUGGGCAUGAGUUGUAGAUGCGGAAGAAUUUCUGCAAGUAUGGACCCGCAGAAGCGGGUGUUGGACCGUAGAGCGGUAGGUCGGGGUCUUAAGUGAAAUGCGCAGAAUUGGAUCUAUUUGUGAUUGGAAUUGGAUAAUUUUGGUAUGGCUUGACUCAAAAUUGAAUAUGUAUCCAGAAUUGGUGAGUUUUGUCGGGUUCUGAGGUGCGGGCCUGGGGUUGACCUUUUGAGUUGUCUCUUUGACUUGAGUUAAAGAUCUUAGCUUUAUCUUUUUGAAUCACUUCCUAUGACUUUUAUUGAUGGUGUUAAGUUAUUUUUGCUAGACUCGAUCCGUUCAGAGUUUGAUACGCGCGGGAAGGGCUUGUUAGCGGAGUAAUUUGGCUUGCUUGAGGUAAGUAUCUUAUCUAAACUUGGUUGAGGCACAAGUAACCUGAAUUAUUUGUGAUUGCUACGUGCUAUGAGUGACUCAUAUGUGUGGGGUUGAGCCCAUAUACAUGCACCGAGGUACUAUUUUCAUGCUCGGGGUAGUGCUUACUCUAUGAUAUGCCUUGAAUUGAUUGCUAAGCUUCAAGCCGAGAUGUUUCUCCUAUUUGUACCCCUAUGUAAACUAUUUGUACCACAUUUGAGAUAUCAUUGAGGUUAUUCUUCCGAUUGAACAUGAUAAACUACUAUUUUAUGAUUAAAUUAUCUUUUUAAACUAUGAGUACGAAACUUGAUAACCAUUGAUAAUCUACAUGUAUUCUCGUAUAUUUUCCUUCUCUACGUAUUUACUAGUUUUUGGGGGAUUUAUCUUGUAUUAGCGGUAUUUUGUUAUAUUGAGAUUUCAUACUUAUGUUAAUCCUGCAAAUUCCAUUAUUUGGGUCUUUUAUUGUUAGUCCGGCUUGCAUAGAAAAGGUGUUAGGCGCCAUCACGACGGGUUGGGAUUUUGGGUUGUGACAGAUGUACAUUGUGUAACAUACUCCGGACUUAGAAAGAAUUCCACAAGGUGACAACUAAUUAUAUAUAAAUUAAUCAUAAUAAAUCUCAUUCAUAGAAAAAGGGGAUAAUUAUCAUGGAUUUAUACGAAGCAUGUAUUUAUUUAAAGUAGAGUGGCUAAAAUAAGUACUUUCAAGAUUGAGUGACUUGAAAGUUCAACUAAACAUGGUAGCACAUAUGUAAGAAAAUGCACAAUUAUCUUAUUAGGAAAAAUAAUGUCAUGCUUAUGCAGUGAAGAACUAAUUCAAUUAAUUAGGUUCGUAUCGAUCCUAGUCAAUCAAUCAAGCAGCAAAAGCACAUCUAAUAAGUUAAUCAUAGUUCAAGCUACACAUUUAUUUCACAUACAUGUGGAAUGUUUAUUAUUUAACUAGAUGUAUUUUAUCCUAAGUGUUGUCACAUAUGAGAAAAUAUAAAGCAAGCAUAAAAUAAAUAAUUAAAUAUGAUAUCUAUCUACGAUCUUAUUAUACUUGUAUUUUUGGGUACAUCCGGAAAUGGUAAGUACGAAGCGGGGAUUUGAUGAGGGUUUUGUCUUUAAUUUUUCUCCAAACAUCAUCUCUCAAAAGCGACUCCAUGUGAUAAUACAUUGUAAGACAAUAGAACAACCGUUAAUGAAAUAAUAGAAUAAAUUAACAAAAUGACAUGUUUUGGAAAGUGAUUUCUUGGAAAUGUUUUUGGAAAAUGGUUUUUUUAAAAUAGUUUGAAAAUAUUUUUGGGGAAAGGUUUUGGAAAAUAAUUUAAAAAAUAUAAAAGGAGGCUCAUAUAUGCAUUUUUGAUUUCCUACUAGACAUGACAACGAGAACCGCUUUGGUGGAAACCACAGUGGCCAACCGUGUCCCCGUCCAAAGGUUAUCAGCUAUUCGCGUCCUCGUCUUUUUUUUCCUGAUUUUUAUCAUCAUAGCCUCUUUAUUUUGGGACCCGUCUGGAGGGACAUUCGGGGUGUCAUGGCCUCAAUAAUUAUUUUUCACUAGCGUUGGUGUAGUAGAACCUUUCAAUACCAGUAGAAUCAAACCAAGACAAACAUUGGUUCAAGAAUACAUUAUCAACAAUAUUCAAAGUAUUCAUUGUAAUCCUCAAGAGGCGGACUUUUUCCAUAGGAUGAUUAUAAUUAUAUCGUUAAAAUGCCACUUACCACUAAAGAGAUCAAAUCGUAACAAAAUCGAAGAUACAAGCAAUCUGUAACGACCCAACCGGUUGUUUUGUGUAUUAUAGCCUAUUCACCUAUUUAUUGCUUCUUCUGUGUUCAUGCUUUUUUAUGUGACUUGCCGUGGUAGUUGGUUUGGUUCCGAGGAUGUUACGGGCUGAAUUGGGACACGUAGUUCUAAGGUUGGAAGUUUAUGUUUAAAGAGUUGACUAGAGUUUGACUUUUAUGUAAUAGGCUCCGAAAUAAAGUUUUGAUGGUUCCAAUAGCUUCGUAUGGUGAUUUUGGAAUUAGGCAUAUCUCUAGAUAUUGAUUUGGAGGCCCGUAGGUCAUUUUGGCUUGAAUUGGCGAAUGAUGGAAAGUUGAAGGUUUGGAAUGUUGAGAAGUUUGAUCCGGAGUUGACUUUAUUGGUAUCAGGUUCAGAUUUUGGUUUCGUAAGUUGGAAUAGGUCCAUUAUGUCAUUUAAGACUUGUAUGCUAAAUUUGAGGCCAUUCGGAGUUGUUGUGGUAUGAUUCAACGUUAGUUUUAGAAGUUGGAAGUUCAUUAGUUGUUGUUAGGCUUGAAUUGAGGUGCGAUUCGUGAUUAUGGUGUUAUUUAAUGUGAAUUGAGUGCUCGAGUAAGUUCGUAUCGUGUAUUAGGACUUGUUGGUAAGUUUGGAUCCCAGGGGCCUCGGGUGCGAUUUGGAUGAUGUACGGACCAUGUUUGGACUUACUAGUAAUAUUGAAGAAUUUCAUGGUCUAGUGCAAUCGCACCUUCAAGGAUUUGGUUGUAGGUGCGAUACCACAAAAGCGGUCAGGCCAUCAUAGGUGCGGAAUAUGCUGGGGCUAGGAAUUGCACAUAUGUGAAUGUUGGUCUACAUCUGCAAAGCUCGCAGAUGCGGGAUGUGGAGGGCAUAAGUGAAAUGGAGUAUGGUCAUGGGUUUCUGCAGAAGCAAAGUGGAGUGUGGACAUUGAGGCGCAAGUGCGCGUGUGCAGAAGCGGAGGUUGGCUGAAGGGUCUGGGACCGCAUCGUGAUGGAUCCUAAAAGUGCAGAUGAUUUUUCUUGAUAGAUCUACCAUGGUAUUGUUGUUUUGACAUGUAUACUUGACAUGUAGUCAUAGAGAUGUACUUUCCUCAUGCCAGCUGAUAAAUAAAAUGUUUUAUACAUCAUGGACCUUAACUGUUAUACUUGAAAUCAUGUCCAAAUUCCUGUAUUUUGAAUAAACUGAACAUAACAUCAUUGAGCUAAUUACUUUUAUUGUUCCAUUUAUAUCUUGAGUUGUUAUCGGUUCAUUAAUGUUGAUAUCUUAUUGUUUCUUUCGAGUUCAUCACCUCUUUCAAAUCAAUGUUAGUGCUGUUACUUAUUGAGUACAUGGGUCGGUUAAACUCAUACUACUCUCUACACUUUAUGUGCAGAUCCAGGUGCUUUCGGAGGAGGUGAUCUCUUGAGUUUUGUUGCUACUAGCUUGGGAGACUACGAGGUAGCUGCCAUACCAUCCGUACACCUUGAAGUUCUCUUUUAUUAUCUAUUAUUUCUUUUCUACUAUUCAGAUAGUUAUAUACAGAAUAUGGUCAUGUAUUGUGAGACUUGGUAGUGCUCAUGUACUUGUUGACACCAGAUUUUGGGAAUGGUUAUAGAUGCAUAACAGUUACGUUCUCAGUUCUUUCAUGAUGUUUACAUUGUUCAGUUUAUUAAACCUUGUUUUAAUCAUACUCCUUGUUCUCAUGUGACUAUUGGCUUGCCUAGCAUGUAGUGAUAGGUUCCGUCGCAGCUCCAGUAGGAGUUGGUUCGUGAUAAGUUGGUAUCAGAGCGCUAGGUUGCUUAGGUCUCAUGAGUCAUGAGCAAGUUUGGUAAAGUCUUACAGAUCGAUACAGAGACGUCUGUACUUAUCUUCGAGAGGCUACCAAACUGUUAGGAAACUUCCCUUUCUUGCGGAUUUGUUAAUUCUGGAAUUCAAAAUUCUAUUAUUAUAUUCUCUCACUGAUGGUGAGGACACGCUCAACUGAUCCGGCACAGUACCGCAAGUUAGGGUGGCGCGAGGCUGCGGUAGAGGCCGAGGUGCGGCUCAUACAACAACUAGGGCAACACCUAUGGAGCCACCAAUUUCUCCAGCUGAGGAGCAGGUACCAGACGUGGUUAAGGCGGUGGGACCAGCUCAAGCACCAGUACUGCCCAUUGUUAUCCCAGGCCUUCAGUAGUCCUUAGCUCAUAUUUUGAUUGUAUGCAUGAGCCUGGCUCAGGCGAUUUCGGUUCUAGCUGCACUAGCCAUCUCACAGGCUGGGGGAGGUACCCAGUCUCUUUCCGCCCGUACUCUAGAGCAUGUAGCUCAGGGACUUCAGACAUUGGGGAUACCAUCCAUUCAAUCGAUUGUUCCCACUCGGGCCGAGGUUGGUUCACCUAUGAGUGAUGAGGAGUAGAAGAUUUUGUAAAGUUUAGGGAGGCUUAAGGCUUCAGAGUUCGGCUGAGAGGAGUUAGAGGAUACUCAAGAUAUUCUAGACAAGUAUUAGCGGAUUCUUUGCACAACGGGUAUUUUGGAGACCAGUAUAGUUGCAUUUGCCACUUUUUAGUUGAAAAGGGAAGCCUGCAGAUGGUAGCAGGCCUAUGAGUUGAGCAGGCUAGUUGGUACAUCACCACAUACAUGGCAUGAGUUCUCAGUUUGUUUCUUUGAGAUAUUUGUUCCAUAGAUUUGUAGAGAGGAGCUGCGUAGAGAUUUUGAGCAGCUACGCUAGGGAGAUAUGAUUGUUACUCAGUAUGAUAUGAGAUUCGCAGAUCUGCCCUGUCAUGAUAUAUUGUUGGUUCCCACGAAUAGAGAGAGGAUAUGUGGUUCAUUGAUGGCAUCAACUAUGGCUUAUGUUAAAGCCUGGCUCGAGAGGCAGAGAUGGAUGAUAGGCUUUGACCAGGUGGUCGAGAUUGCUAAGAGCUUGGAGUUGGUUUGCUAGCUUGAGCGCAAGGAGCAGGAGGACAAGAGGCCCCGUGGAUUUGGUGGUUUUAGUGGCACCUCAUCUAGAGGUCAAUCACAUCACUACAGAGGUCAUCCUUAUACGUCAGCUCAGAUGGCUCGUCAGGUUUCUCGUGGUGCAUCCGCUAGUCACGGUUCGUACAACACCCAUCAAGUUCAGCCAUCUUUUAGUGCACUACCAGCUCAGAUCUCAUAUCGUGCUCCAUCAGUCCAGGGUUAAUCGGUAUCGGGUCCUUUCAUUGGGUAUUCUAUUUCUCGAGGGUCCGAUGCACGCCCCACAGUUAUUUUGAGCUCGAGGUUUCUACGAUUGUGGAGAGUUUAGGCAUGCGAGAAAGUAUUGCCCAGUCAUUACAGAGGUCCAGUUCAACACGGGGGCCAGGCUAUGACUUCUGCACCAGUUGCUAUACCAUCCACUUAGCCAGCUCGGGGUGGAGUUCAUGUGGGUUGAGGUUGCCCCAGANNNNNNNNNNNNNNNNNNNNNNNNNGAAAAAGAGCCACCACCUAAUAUUUAAAGGUAUACUAGGGUACCUAUCUAAUUACUAAAGUCAUAUUCUUUAUUAAUUUGCUUACCAGUGAGAUUAUAGGUAAGGUUUCUUGAUAUUCUAAGGGGAAGGUGUUAGGCACCCCUUAAAAAUUACUUGAGGUAGCUCAAUAUGACUUAGACUAGAUUUAGGAUUAAUUAUUUUUACUAUGCUUAACUAGUUCUUAAAAGGUCAUGGCUUGCUAUGCAUUAGGACAUAAUACUUACGAAAGUAUUGUGUAGCUUAAAGGGGAUGGAUAAGAGCUUAAAACGUAUAUAUAAUGUUCGUAUUUAGGAAAAUAUGUGAAAAGAAAAGCUAAGUUAAAACACUUUGUUCCUAAUACAUGGAAGUUCAUAUUACUCUAAUGAGAUGAAGAUGUUAUGAAAGUAAGCCUAAUAUAUACCUUGGCUUUUGAAUAUUUGAAGGAACCAUUUGAAAAUCAUUAUUUGGGGCGGAGCACCUUAUUUUUCAAAAUGAGUUGAUUUCCUAUUUGAAGCUCAAACUUGCGAUUCAGUUCUGGUUUUUAUUUUUUAAAGAGGAGCUGUCGUCUCUUGCUAAUCUUUUGGGCUUCAAAAUCAUUAUGAAAAGUUAGCAAAACAUAGCAGCUUAAUAAUAUAAAAAACUUAUGAUUAGCGAAUGUAAGAUUAGUUACUAACUAAUACUUCUUUUAAUCCUAGGUUAUUUAGGGAUUGCGUAAGUUGUUAUAUGACUUAACAUAUAAAGUAAAGCAUUCAAUCCAAUAUAUAAUUAUUUUAUACAUGUGAGAUAAAACAACAACAACAAGAACACAGCGAAAUGCAACAAUGCAGUAAGGCUAAGGCAAUAAGGUAGUAAAUAAUAAAGGACUCAAAAGGAAAGGAUUGGACUCUGGUGUUUGGGCAUCCAAUAGGCAGGCCCAACAAUACAGGGACGUGCAACAGUUAACUCUGGACCUUCCGAGAUAUAGCAAUGCUGCAUUUGGGAUUGAGUUCCUUAAGAACUCAGCAGGCCCAAGCAAAUGUACAUGUUCAAAAUGAAAAGAGAAGGUCAUUAUAAAGAUAAUACUAUAUACAUGUUCAUACAUGAAACUUACAAGAACAAAUAAAGAAGGUGACUAACAGUACUUAAACACUAGGAGGGUCAUACUAACGUGGCAGUUAUGUACUAGUAAGUGAUCCACAUUGGAUAACACAUUUUAAGGUUAGAUAAAGAGCACACACUUCAAAUAAGCAACAACUUAGAAAUACAGAUUCCUUUGCCUUAGCAGACUAAUCACAGAUUGGUUUAAUUCAGGUCUGGUCACUAGCACUUACAUAGGUCUACAAUACUACUUGGAACUUUUGAAAGAAUCAACAAAAGAUUCAGACAAACAUUCAUAGUUAGAAACCUCUACAGGUGUUGCCAGAAUAUAAUUAGAACUUUUAACAUGACUAUAGGUUUGCAGAUUCAAAUGGAACAUCUAAGAAUGCUUAACAUGGUCACAGCCUAUUAGUCUUACUUAACGUUGAAAUUGAUGACUGAACCACCCCUUUACAAGAGUAUUAAUCUCAUUAUGAAAUAGGCAAACUAUUAUAUCUAAGUAGUAGUAAUAAGAAGUUUCCCUUAGGGUUCAUAUAUUAGAUUCAGUUCAGAUAAACAAGGUAAGAGAACUGAGUGCAGUUCCAAAAUGGUGUACAAAAGUGUGAAAUCAUGAAAGAUAAACAAAGGUACAUGCAACACAUUCAUUUAUCUACACAUAGAUAUUUCAACUAAGGUCUUACAAAAACACAAGGAGUUUCACUCAUUAUAAGACCAAGUCAACAAUGUCAUAAAGGUUGUUAAUGUCAAGGAAGAUAUUAUACCAAACAAGUUUAACUCAACUGUAGAGACUAAGAUUAACAUCUAAACAUGAUAUAGUUAUACCCCGCUUGUAAAACAGUUAUCAUUCAACUAUAGUAAAAAUGACUAUAGCCUAUUUUAUUAACGACAACUUGAUCAUAACAGAAUACGUGCAAAAUGGUUACUGAUGUUCAUAAAAGUUCACCUUAAUGAGACUGUUUCAUAUAAAGAGACCUAGAGAUGUAACUAACAGUUAGACACAGGCAUAAGACUCUCAUAGUAAUGACUCGGAAGCUGCUGUUAGACUUAGCAAACACUUAUAUAAAGAAGGAGAGCAUUUAAACACUUAAACUUCAAAUGCUUCAGCUAAGUGAUGAAGGAUUAAUCUAUAAGCUUUCAUGUUUUUUCUAGUUAGAAUUAUCGAACAACAACCUCAAUAAGAGAACACCAAAUUGCAGAAAAUGGUGUGUUAGGGAUAAAGAUCAUAGUAAAAUCAUUAAAAAUAAAUCUGAAGUCUAGGCAAAUGUGAGAAGUCAUUGCUGCAUAUUAAGAAAACUUAAUCAUGUAAAAUAUUUGAUUCAUAAUGGAAAUCAUUAAGGUCACAUAAAUACUCAAUCAAUGCUGAUUAGAGAUACAUAAACACAUAAUAACUAGCAACAGAUCAACAACAGGUCAUCAUGAACCAGGAUAAAUAGUUAUAGACUAACAACAAGCAUCAAAAACGAAACAAUUAACAGAAAGACAGUAGUAUGUUCAUGAUAUUCGAAUGAAAUAGUCAAAAGAGAGAGUGUGGAGGUACACUGACCUUUUCUAGGGCAGCAGAUCUAACAUGAUUUUAACUUAGCCAUAUAAAAACCAAAGUUUCAAGCCCUAGAGCAGUGAAGGAACUCGGAACAAAAGGAAAUAGAGAUUAAUCAGAAAAGACACAUAGGCUUCUAAAUCUUAAUUCAUAUGAGAUUUUUUGACUCUUGUUAGGUUUGGUCGGUCUGGUUGGUGAUGUUAGGUGAGAGCAAUCAAGGCUCUAUUUAUAGUACUAUUUAAUGGCUUAGGGUUUCUGAUUCAAGCUUAGGUAGUGCAAAAUGACGGAGGAGUGGUGAUGCAAGCAAGAUUGGGGAAAAUAUAAGGAGAUACAGGGAAAAUGAUGAAAAAGUUUUUACUUGAGUGAAGAUCUACCGUUUGAAGGAAAAUAAUCAUCGGGCAAGACCUCAAUGUCUAGAGGUCAAUGCGUUUGACCUCUAGACAAAGAAGGACGGUGGUGAUGACGAAGAAAUGCUAUGCAUGCCAUGGAUUUAACUGCACAUUGAGAGAAAUUCGAAGACUUGACAUUGCAUUGUUGUAUCUAGCGUUCAGAUUUUGGGCAUUUGAAUUUUUUAUGAUGAAACGGGAGAGAAUCCGCGAGAAUCGCGGAUAGGGGAGGCAACGAGGAUGAUUCUAUAUUUGAUUUGUGACCUUGCACAAAUUUGUGCUAGGUCUGUGACUGAUUUGAUCAUGGCGAGAUGAUAGAAGAGAGGACGAAAGGGGAAAUGGGGGGCGAUCGUUUGUGGCAAAUAAAUUAAGGUUAUGGAGUGAGAGACGAGAUUUGGAUAGUUGGAUCUGAUGAUCAACAACCCUGAUAAUUUGAUCACAUAAAGAUUUUAUAAGAUUUUAAAGUGAAAAUAUAAGAGCCGUUAGAUCUUCUAUUUUCAACGGCUAAGAUUAAAUCGGAUAGGAUGUAUAAAAUUAAAGAAAAAAUGGAGAUAAAAUGAGGGUCGUUGAUCUAUAGGAUGGACAACCUAGAAUGAUUGUAUUUCUAUUGUUAGUUAUAGAGGCGGGUGAAGUGGCGUGCUCUGAUCGGUUCCCAUGGGUUGGGCGGAUUGCCAAAGAGAAAGAGGGGGGUGGACUUGGACUGGGUCAUAUGGGAUUGGGCCUGGGUAUUGGGCUGGUUUUGAUUUAAAGAAUGGCCAAUUUGUGUUUGAUUGUUCAAUUGCAAAUGUAGCCAUUUUAGUCUUUAUCUCUUUUUAAGUUAAUUUAAAUAAACUUAAUUAAUUUCCAAUAAAAUAUAGUAAUCUAAUUAAUUUUGAAUUAUUAACAUAGUAAUCUAAUUAAUCCAAAAUGUAAGGGGUAAUUAAUUAUAAAACCUCUAUGGCAUAUUAAAAAUUAUUUUAAUAAUAUUAAAAUAUUAAGUAUAUUUGUAAUUACAUAAUACUAAUGUUGGGUGAUUAAUUUAAAAACUAAUACUAUUUUUUAAAAAUGGGUAUUUAUUGAUAGAAAAUACUUUCAAAAAAUUCAUUGUAAAUUAUUAAGCACAAGUAAAUUAAUUUUAAAAGGGAGGGUUAAAUUUAGCCGUCAACAGCUGCCCUUUUUUUACCGGAGAAGAUGAAAGAAUUUUCGGGCAAAGAAAUUGAACCAAAGCCAAUUUCGUCCCGACUUUAGGCAUGCAUUGUCGGAAUAGCACGAUGAUCAUGAACUGCAGGAUUGGGAUCUAAGGAAGAUUCUGGGAGGAUUUUUUACAGAGUUGGGGCUGAAUUCUGGCCUUGAAUUGCUUACAUACCUCGAGCUUAACGAGGAUCAGGCCUCGUGUAGUUCUGGAGUGAGGACUUUGAGGAAGCGAUGUUUGCAAGAAUUGCCCCAAUAUCGUAUUAUGAUGAUACUGCAUGACGGAGGAUUUGGUACUCAUUAUUGCUUGAAUUUACGGCUUGACUUGAAGGAUUUGAAAAAUUAGAGUUCUACUGAUCGUUUUGAGUUUGAGCUUGGAUCCUUGGCCCGCUAACGAGUUUGUUGUCCCUCAUAGCAUUGUAGUUUGGUCUUCUUCUUAGAAAGAGUUCCACGUUGCGAUAUUUGUUCCUGCAAAAUGAAAUAAACACAUACCCAUAUAUUGCAAUGCAGAAUAUGUUAAGAUGUGAUGUAAAUGAUGCAGGAAGGAUAAUGCAUGGCUGCCAGCGAAACGUUAUUUGGGAUCAGGAUGAUGGGAUACUUGAACUUGACUCAAUUUGUUAGUUGGGUUGUAUACCAUUCCGCAGCUGUCGGAGCAUUGAAAAAGUAUCUGUUCUUGUUGGGAAAGCUGGACUUGUAGAGUGCGUCUUUGCUUGUUGGAAGAGCUUUGCAUUGAAAAGUGUCUCCGCUUGUUGGGAGAGCUUGAUUUGUAGAGUGCGUCUUCACUUGUUGGGAGAGCUUUGCACUAAAAUGUAAAGUAAUCUCUGCAUGGGAAUAAUUGACUAAAAACAUAAUCAUGUCUGAAGCUACAUGAGCAAAAUGUCAAAAUAUUCAAGAUAACAGCAAAGGAAAAGAAAAGCAUUCCUAAGAGAUACUCUUGACUGCAAAGCUAAGUUACGGCCAUCGAUUGGUAGAAUGUCGGUUGUGAGGUUUCCGAUUCUCUACUAGCCUCCAUUGUGAUAGAGCGGUGGCGCAGAUUGUACCAUUGACGGAGUGAUCACUUUACUAUAUACAAAGCUUCGUUUGCAAAAUCAACGUCUAAUAUUUUACAUGGCGCUCCGGUCGAUUGAGAAUAUGAUUUGCUAUAUACUGGACUCCAAUUGGUGAAGUCCAUAGAUCAUUUUGUACAAAGUGCUCUGAUUGGUUGAGCAGGCAGUUUGCUAUAUAUAAGGCUUCAAUUAGCGAAGCUGGCGGCUUAUUUUGUACAAGGUGCUCUGAUUGUUUGAGCAGACGGUUUGCUAUGUACAUUAUGCCUUUUCUGCAUCAGCGGUCUGACUCCAAGUUACCUGCAAAGAAUUGUAGAAUUCGUUUAAGUUGUACCAGAAAACAUCUUAAUAAAAGAGAAAGGGGAUAAUCCUGGGAAAUUGUCGAAUUCGUGAUUUUCCCCUGUGUAGUACCAACAUUUCCUUGCGUCCUGUUGACCCUGCACUCAAAGAAAAUUCUUAGUGGGAGUAAGGAGGGGGGUGGUUUGUGGCAGCCAUGUAACGUUUUUUCUCAGCCCUUGAUAUGGCUACGCCCCGAAGUUCGGUAGGUGGAACAAAUUACUGUAUAUUAGAAAACAUUUUUUGAAAAUUUUUGUUUUAAAGUAAGUGUCGUCAUCCCAGAUUAUGACGUGCUAUGAAAGGUUCUCCAAACAUGAGUGUCGCAUCAUGGAAACUCUAUCUUGUCAUUGCGACUACAUCCUAAUUCGAACUAAUGAAUUACAAAGGUUUUCAUAAGGUUUUGACCGAACCCUUUCAGGUUGCCUACAUAUCCAAAAUAGAAUCAAGGCUGAACGUAGUUCAUGGAUGAUAAAAAUAUUAUAAAUAUGAUCGAGCCUGACUUAGGUAGCCUACGUAUCCAAAUGGAAUCAGGUCAAGAUGUAGUUCAAUUACAACAGAUGAAAAAUGGGGACAUUAAGAAUGAAAUGGCCAAGUCUGACUCAGACUGCCUAGCUAUCCAAAUGGAAUUAGGCCAGAAUGUAGUUCAAUUACAAAAGACGACUGAAUCCAAUGAGGAUUGCCUACCUAUUCCUUCUUGAGGAAAUCAAGUCAGCAUAGUUCUAGAGCAACAUACAAAGUGAUAUUUGGAUUUUCUAUAUCAAAAUAAAGGAGGAAGAGAAACCGAACCCUAUGUAGGUUGACUACGUAUCCCUCUAUGGGACGUCAGGUUGAAGUAGUUCUGUUAUAGCAAAACCUAACUCUAUUUUCUUUCAAACUUAGUAUCUCUUGGUUGUGUCUGAGUUGAUGGGCUUCGUGUUGACUUUUGCAUCCAUUUCUUCCAAGAUUAGAGCUCCUCCCGACAACACUCGGUGAACCACGUAAGGACCUAGCCAAUUUGGUGCGAAUUUCCCUUUGGCUUCUUCCUGGUGUGGAAAGAUUUUCUUCAAGACUAAUUGCCCCACUGUGAACUGGCGAGGCUUCACCAUUUUGUUGAAUGUACUGGCCAUCCUAUUCUAAUAUAGUUGACCAUGGUUGACUGCAUCCAUUCUCUUCUCAUCGAUGAGCAUGGGUUGCUCCUGUCAGACCUGUAUUCACUCUGCAUCGUCCAACAUAGCCUCUUGGAUGACUCUUAAAUAUGGUAUCUCAACCUCCGCGGGUAUCACAGCUUCGGUGCCAUAUACUAACAUGUACGACGUUGCCCAAGUGGACGUUCUCAUGGUGGUUCGAUAACCAUGUAAGGUGAAUGAUAGUUUCUCAUGCCAUUAUCUGUGAUUGUCCACUAUCUUCCGCAGAAUUAUCUUGAUAUUCUUCUUGGCUGCCUCGACUGCCCCAUUAUUUGCCAUUUGUAGGCUGUGGAUUUAUGGUGAACGAUUCUAAACCUCUUGCAAAUUUCCCUUAUGAGGUCUCUAAUGAGGUAACGGGCAUUGUCAGUGAUGAUUGACUCAGGUAUCCCAAAUCAUCACACGAUGUUGUUUCGAACGAAAUACGCCGCAACCUUCUUUGUGAAGGACUUGUAGGUAGAUGCUUCGACCUAUUUGGUGAAGUAGUCAAUGGCUACCAAGAUGAAGUGGUUCUCAUUUGACGCACCGGUCUCUAAAGGUCCAAUCACGUCUAUGUCCCGGGCAGUGAACAGCCAAGGCGUGCCCAUCACAUUGAACUCGUUUGGUGGAACCCGGAUGAAAUACCCGUGAAUUUGGCAUUGGUGACACUUUUGUACGUAUUGGAUACUAUCACUUUCCAUAGCCAUCCAAAAGUAUCCAGAUUUGAAGAUCUUCUUGGAUAUUGUGAACCCGCUCAUGUGGGGUCCGCACGUUCCUGCAUGUAUUUCUUCUAAUAAUCUGGUCACCUCAGCGGCAUCUACACAUCUCAACAAACCAAAUUCUGGGGGUCCUCCUGUACAGGAAUUCCCUGUUAAGGAAAAUGUGUUUCGUCAGCCUCCUGAGUGCUCACUUCUGACUAUUAGUAGCAUUCUUCGGGUACUCUUUGGUUUCAAGGUCUUGAUGUUCAGAAUCCCCUAUGACCAAAUGUUCUUUAAUGUUUUCAGAUCCGAAGCAAGUUUUGUUUUCAUUGAUAAUAUUUGGAUUGAGAUAGGUGGGAACAGAGGUUACAUGAUUGUUUCUGACAUUCAAAGAACUACAUAGGCUUGAACAACUUACCUUUAGGGAAAAAUAAGAAAAUUAGGGAUAAAGAUACAAGGUGGGAAAAGAAGGGGAAAUCAACCAACUUCUAGUAACCAUCUCCGGAAUCAUUCCCAUCUCCUCUUCUUAUUCUGGUUCUUCCUCCGGAUCUUCUUCAAACUCCUCUUCAUCAUUGUUGAACUCAAAUUCUUCUCCUAGUUCUUCCUUCGACUCUGUCCCAGAUUCUUUCUAGAUGCACUCCAAUACUCGGUCAUCAUCUUCAGCAUGUGGCAGCAUGUGAUCAAUGGAUACUUGGACCACUUGAUGGUGCAUUAAGGUAGUCACAAGGUAAUGUCUCAUAAUCUCAUGGUAAAUUUGCAAAGCAUCCUUGCAUCCUCUAGCUAGGCUAUAUGCUCUUUGCUUGGUUUGGUUAGCUCGUCUUUCUCGUUGAUACCAUGAGUUUUGACCCAUCGGCAUUGUGACCAGAUCAUUCCACUCUUCUUGGAGCCUUCUUAUCCUCGGUAUUGGAAUUUGUCUAUUGUACUCAUCCUCAUAUAGCGUUUUCCUCGUCCAUAGAGACACAUCCCGGAUGAUCCCGAACUGUCUGAUAACCUGCAGGGGUGAGUAUGGUUGGAUGCCUUCAAGUCCUAUUAGCUCAAUGACGUAUUUCUGAGGAGUCUUAAGAUUGCCCUCCCGCCUAACCAUGACAGCUUCCAAUUGACCCAUUCUCCGCUAGAUUUGUCAGCAUUUCUCUCCACUCUUCACGUCCAUGUGGGGAGACCCAAUGUCUCAUUCUCUCAUUGUGGCUGCGAAAUAUGUUGCUGACGCCCACAAAGUAGUCAAUGGUGACCUCUCGCUGGAAGAAAUGUUCUAUGGCCAAGAUGUGAAGCAACAUGUUAUAGAUCUUAAAGAAAUCAUACCCUCUUGCACAUGCAGACAGAGCCCUUAGGAUCUUAGCUAACAUCAUCAGUACCAGAGUAGCUUGGAGGUUGCCACGGAAUGUUGCCAGAUCACGGGUAACAAUUAGAUGUUGACCCAACCUCUUCUGUAUGGGAAAAUAAACAAUCCCAACAGUACUUAUGAGAAAGUGAUGGGCCUGAGACUCUCCCACGUUGCUUGAUCACACUGCAAUUCUCUCGAAUAGCACUCAUAACUUUCACGAUGUCCUAAUUUCAUCUAUGUUCUCUCGGCGAAUAUUCUUCCACCACUGCUUCAGCUUGUGUGGUGCUCCCAUCACCAUAUUGAUCUCGGGGAUGUUUUGCUUGAUUUCCAUUUCUGGGAUGGGUAAAGAAAGGUUUUGGUAAGUGUUUUCUUCGGAUCUUUUGGUGUCUCAUCAGGUUUGUUCGUGUUUCCACAGAAGUCAUGUCAUUGGAUGCAUGACCCGUUGACAUUAGUGUGGCUUUCCUAAUUGUCUGUCGAUUCCAGGAGUAAGUCACCUAAGAUUUAUGCAUUAUGACCUAUGUUUACUAGAGUAGAGUGUUUCCUACUUUUGAAUUAAAUUGAAGACUACGAGAAAUUAUGUCAGUUGACCUGACAAAGCCAUUCUCUAAAACUAAAGAGUUUUGAAAAGAAGGUUCGGAAGAGUGUAAAAUACAACCCUCGCGUGCCAUCGUGCGUGAUAGUGUAUGAUCAAGAGUCGAUAAGAAGAUAUGUGAUGACAUUAAAUAUAAAGUGAUAAUGGAUAAGGGUGUAACAAUAACAUGCAUGAUAAUAAGCAAGCAUAAGGAACCAGUAAGGAAUUUAAACACGUAAUUGCAAAUUAAAUAUAGUUAAAGAAAUGUACAAACAAAUCAUAGUGCCAAAUUCAGACUAAGUCUGCUAAGGUCAGAACCUAAGUAUGAAUGCUAGCUAAGCCACCAUGUUAUUGUGACCUAUUCUGCACAAUUCAAAACAAGAUUCAACUUGUGGUUUCUCUGUUGUUGAUGAAAGAGAGUCGCCACCUAAUAUUUAAAGGUAUACUAGGGUACCUAUUGUAAGGCCCCGUAAAACUUCACCUAAAACCCAUGGUUUUGUGGCGCCGAGGUAGAGUAAUGUGAUUGAGGGGUAUGAACUUUUUGGAUUGUACAGUACGUCGGUGAGUUGAAGGGAUUAUUUUGCUGACCAUGGUAUUUUUGCGGUCCACUAUGCGACCGCAGAGCCAACUUGUGAGCCGCAGAUUAGCCGCAGAGUGAAGCAUAACUUGAGUUAAUUUUGAGGACCAUUAUGCGACCGCAUAACCAUUUCGUGGGUCGCACAAUCCAUCGUAGAUCCAGCAUGAGAAAACUUCAUAAGGAGGUUCUGCGGUCCAUUAUGCGACCGCAAAACUGAUAUGCGACCGCAAAUCCAUCCUAGACUUGUCCAGCCCUGCCCAGUUUUUGGGACCCUUUAUGCGGUCCCCUUUGCGGGCCGCAUGCCUAUUUUGCAAUCGGGUCUGCGACCGGAGACCCGACUUCGUAGAUUUUAAAUUUUGAAAAAUUUCACCUGAUCCCAUUUUUACAAAAAUAACUUGGGGUUUAUUUAGACUGGUCCUAACUAAUAUUCUAGAGUGAUAGGUGGAUUUCUAAGCUAAUUGUUCAUCAAUCGUUGCUCAAGACUUGGAGAAUUCACAAGGAAAACUCAGAAGGUCUUCAUUCAUGAGGUAGGUUCCAUAUCCUAGUUUCAAUUUCGAGUUUAGGGUAGAAAAUGGUUAAUGAGGAGUGUGAUUCUUGGGUGUGACAGUGUUAUUUAUGAAUGCAUGUACUAUUAAGUUUUGUGGGAAGGUUGUUGAGCUCAAAUGGGUAGACUUUGGGUUAUGGGAUGAAGAAAUCCACCAUAGGAGGACCUUGAGGUCAUAAUGUCCACCUAGUGUUUGUUAAAAUACUCAAAUGAGCUGAAACCAUAAAUACCUUCCUAAUUUGUGUUCAAUUUUGUUAUAUUUCCAAAUAGAUUGAAGUUGCUAAGAUUUCUAGAACAUUGCAGUAAUUUAAGAAAUCUCAAAGCGAGUAAUGUUGGCUAAACUCCUCUUGUAGAAUCAAAUCCAUGAUGUCCUCGUAAGUUGUAGUUAUGAUAGGCUCAAGAUCUUAUGUCUCAUGUUCCGAGUUAUUUCUUAUAAACUUGACUAUUCCGAAUAAACUCUGUGUCGAAAGUUAUAUGUUCAAAAUGUAUACUGAAUGCUUUUAUCAUAUUGUGUUAUCCUUCGAGAUUGUAUUCAUAUGUUACCAUGUGUCGAAAUAUUAUGAAUUCAAUUAUGUCUCAAAUGCUAGUUAUUAUGCCAUAUUGCGGAAGAAAACCCAAGGUGCCUAAGACUCUUAUUUGCCCAUACGUGUACUAAAAGUCGUGAUUAGAGAUGCUUUGUUGUUGACAAUACAUGAUGAUGUUUGCAAUUGAAAGGGGUGAUCAUGACAUAUGAAAUACGGCAACUGUGCCAAAAAUGAUAUUACAAUUGUGGCCACUAGUGCCAAUGAAAUAAAAAGAUGAGUAAAAGACUAUGAAAUGAACUGAAUGUCCUUUUUACAAUAAACAAUAGGGAUUAUCGUUAGUCACCGAGGAGGGGUAGGUUGAAAUGACCUAACCCUGAAACUAUACGUGCCGGUGUAGUUGUGUAUUAUGAUUAUUCCCCUUUUUUGGCAUGAGAUUGAUGUGAGAUUAUUUCCCUUAAAUAUGAUGAGAUGAUUGCUAGCAAAGGGUGAUGUCGAUCCACACGCAUUGUGGUGAGACAGCCUAACCAGUCGGGUCAAAAUCGGACGCCAUGCCGCACACAUAGUGGUGAUUGUUAUUGAGAUAAUGAUUGAGAUUUUUAUAGUGAUUGUGAUUGUGGUUAAUGUCAUUGGGUGAAAUUGCCUAGCAGAUCGGGUAGUGAUCGGACUCUGUGCUAAAGUCAUGAUGGUAUAUCCGUACUAAAGAUCUCCCAACUUAAAAUAUGUAAUUUACUUGAAAUCUUAUCUUGCUCCCAACUUGGUGUCUUGGUAUGUUUUGAGGCUUCCAUUGAUUCUAUGAUUGUUCUUCCUUGUUUUAUUACUCAUUCUAUUGAGAGGGUGUUUAUUCACUCAUACUAGUACUAUUCCAUAUAUACUAACGUCCCUUUUGUCGGGGGCGCAACAUCUUUAAUGGAUGUAGGUGGUUCCACAGCAGGCGGCUUUGCUCAGUGAUAGCGGUAUACCCUCUUCCCAGCUGACUUGGUGAGCCCCACUUCAUUUUAGGUCAUGUAUCUUUUGUUUCUUGCGUAUUAUGUUCUGAGGUAUAGUCGUGGCCUUGUUGAUGUCACUAUCAUAUUACUCUUUUGUAUCUAUUAGAGACUCCGUAGAUAUAGUAUGGGUUGUAUGUUGGUGUUGGAAAAGUCAAUCUAGUAAUAUUGUAUUUGUACCACUUGUUCCACUUCAAACUAUAAAAGGGUAUGUAUUUUGAGAUUUAUAAAUGAAGUAACUAAUGUCAAUGAAUUGGUGUUGAUCACAUGAUCUUCUUCUGGUCAUAAUGAAAUAGAUCUUCUCUUUAUUCAUGAGUGAGUUCGGGUAAAAGGUAUUGUAUAGGCUUGUUCGGUCGGGUUAUCUCGGUUGAGCACCGGUCACGCUCCCUGAGGUCGGGGCAUCACACCUAUCUAAUUACUAAAGUCAUAUCUUUAUUAGUCUGCUAACCGGUGAGAUUAUGGGUAAGGGUUCUUGUUCUUCUAAGGGGAGGUGUUAGGCACCCCUUAAAAUCUACAUGAGGUAGCUCCAUAGGACUUAGACUAGAUUUAGGAGUAAUUGUUUGUACUAUGCUUAACUAGUUUUUACAAGAGUACGGCUUGCUAUGCAUUAGGACAUAAUACUUACGAAUGCAGUGUGUAGCUAAAAGGGGAUGGAUUUAUGUAAGAGUCUUAGAAAAUGAUGUUAGUGUAUAUAUGCUUGAAAAAGCUUAAAAAGUAUAUAUGAUGUUCGUAUUUUUAAAAAUAUGUGAAAAGAAAAGCUAAGUUAAAACACUUUGUUCCUAAAGCAUGGAAGUUCAUAUUACUCUAAUACGAUAAAGAUGUUAUGAAAGUAAGCCUAAGAUAUACCUUGGCUUUUAAAUAUUUGAAGGAACCGUUUGAAAAUCUUUAUUUGGGGUGGCGGCAUCUGUUUUUUCGAAAUGAGUUGAUUUCCUUUUUAAAGAUCAAACAUGCGAUUCAAUUCUUGUUUUGUUUUUUAAAAGAGGAGUUGUCGUCUCUUGCUAAGCUUUUGGGCUUCAAAACCUUUAAGAAAAGUUAGCAAAACAUAGCAGCUUAAUAAUAUAAAUAACUUAUGAUCAGCGAAUAUAGGAUUAGUUACUAACUUAUACUUCUUUUAAUCCUAGGUUCUUUAGGGAUUGCCGAAGUUGUUAUAUGACUUAAGAUAUAAAGUAAAGUAUUCAAUCUAAUAUAUAAUUGGUGUAUACAUGUGAGAUAAAAUAACAACCANNNNNNNNNNNNNNNNNNNNNNNNAGAACACAACAAAAUGCAACAAGGCAGUAAGGCUAAGGCAAUGAGGUAGUAAAUAAUAAAGGAGUUAAAAGGAGAAGAUUGGACUCUGGUGUUUGGGCCUCAAAGAGGCAGGCCCAACAAUACAGGGACAGGAAACAGCUGACUCUGGACCUUCCGAGAUAUAGCAAUAUUGGAUUUGGGCCUGAGUUCCUUCAGAACUUAGCAGGCCCAAACAAAUGUACAUGUUCAAAAAGAAAAGUGAAGGUCAUUAGAAAGAUAAUACUCUAUACAUGUUCAUACAUGAAACUUGCAAGAAAAAAUAAAGAAUGUGACUAACAGUACUUAAGCACUAGGAGGGUCAUACAAACGUGGCAGUUAUGUAUUUUUUUUUUUGACAAUCCACUAGGCAAGUUCCUAGGGCUGGUUUUUUUAUAAAUACAAAUCCAAAAAAAUAACAAAGAAUAUUAGGAGGUCUUACAUGAUGAAAUAGUUAAAAUUUGACAAAUACAUAGAUCAUAUUAUCAAUUUUGGGCUUAUGAUACCCAAAAUGGAUAUUACAUUGUGAUCUAGUAUAGAAAUAGAAUAUAUAGCAUAAAACAUCUAAACAAAUACUAGAAUAUUACAAACGUAUCCAUUUUUUUUAUUCGCGCGCACUUGUUUGGCAUUAUGACCCGUCGUGAUGUAAUUAUCAGCACUUGUGCAUUCCAUAUCCACUGAUAACAGAUCCCUCAUGUGAUAGAAUCUGCAUUCCAUUAGUGUUGCAAUAUGUUGUCUCGAACUGUGGCCAUCAUCUUUUUCCAGCACUGCCCAGCAGCAGAUGCUACUAAUGACUAUCCAUUUUUUGCGUCCAAAUUUCAGACAUGAUGAUUGUUUGAAAGUGUGAGGCCUUCACUUCUUUUUUGCAUGAUCUCCUUCCGUGUGUUGCUGUAUUCUUUGCUUCACAAUCCUCCUGUCUAGCACUACACCAGCAUGUGGCUUUUGUGUCGAGUUUUGUGUGCAGUCCUUGUGUUAACAUCUGAACUCUUUGCAUUGUUUGAACUUUGGGAUAUUAAAUAAGAGUACUGCAUUGAGAUUAUGUACCUCAACGUAACCAUUUUACCCAAAAAUCAGUGCCAAAUCCAGUAGUUUGAGUAGUUUUUCUGUUAAUCUGCUGGCCAUCAGUAUCAUUCCUUCCCAUUUUUGCUGCUAUGUUUGUGCUCGUCCAUGAUUCCUCGUCAAUGAAAUGAGUACAAAGUACUAAUACCACCAGUUGAAGGUUCCUCACUGAAUAAGGCAUAGCUAUAGUAACGAUCCCUGCAAAAAAGAAAAUAAUGUUAGAUAAAAAAUUCAUCUCCAUGAUCUCCUCUUUAAGAAUUUGAUCAUGGGAGAUUACUGAGUGAUUUUCCUCAUAACUAAUGUGUUCCUUCUUGAACUUUGCCUGGUUUCCUGUAUAUUCAGUUGGUCCAUUCGAAAUAUUUAUCAUUUUGAUCAUCAAGCCAUCAAUGUCCAUACACACGCAAAGACUUCCAAAUGUGCACCAAAGUUGAGUGCAUCAUAUAUCAAUUAAUUUUGUGUGUUUUUUAAAGCAUGCUAUCAGUGUGGAUUGUUGUACAACCCCCUUUUUGUAUCAUUGAAGUGUUAACUUGAGGUUGGAUUUUACUCCAUAACACCCCAAUUCUUCUCAUAUUUGGCUCCCAAAAGAAGCUGCCUAGUAUGAAUAUUUUGUGUAGCAGAGUGUUCGGCAGUUGGUUCCUCCAAGUUUCUAUGCUUGUGCCUAUCGUCAAUUCUCUCCCAAUGGAUUAAGUACUAGGUACUAAUACCACCAGAUGGGAGUUCCUUAAAGAAUAGGGCAUAGAUAUAAUAAUUUUCCAUGCAACAGAGAAAACAAAGUCAGCGAAAAAAGGCAUCACCAUGCUCUUCUCCAUACAAAUUUGUGCAUGGCAAUAUACUGUGUUAGCACCAGAUUCACCACUUUCUCUCCUUUCCUCUUUACCUCCUAAUUCCAUGAAACUCUUAUUCUUAAGUAUGGUCAUUGCAUCUUGUCUUCAUUCACUAUCCUCCUACCAUGUGAGUCUAGAUUCCAGAAAUCAUAAUACCCAUUAUCUCCAACAUCAAGAGCAUAGUUUGCUAGGUGAUCUGCCAAGUUAUUCCCCUCUCUAAAUAUGUGUGACACUCUAAUGUUACAUUCCUCCUUCAUUCUCAAGAUUUCAUCUAUUUGAUCAACAAUACCCCAGGGUGGUUUCCAUGAUUACUCAAUAAUGUUCUUUAACAGCAUCAAAUCAGUUUGCAGCCAUAUCUGUGUGUAAUUCAUUGCUUUGCACAGUCUCAAAGCCUUCAGAAUUGCCAUAGCACCUGCUUCAUUGUUUGAUCCCUCUGUGAUUUCUCUUCCUGUUUCAUAUUUCAAAUCACCAGCCUCAUCCCUUAAGCAAAAACCUAUCGAACUUCUUCCUGGGUUGCCUCUGCAUGCUCCAUCAGUAUUGACUUUGAUCCAUCCUUCUAAAGGGAAUUCCCAUAUUACUUUCUCAAACUUCAAUUUUGGAGUAUAAUUCUGCAGCAUAUUCAAUAGAUCUUGCUACUUGUGAGGCACACAAAGACCUGGUUUUCUUACUUGCACAAAUGCUUGCAUAGUUGUUGAUACUUGGUAAAUAACUCUGCUAACUGAGACUGCCUCCCCAUAUUUCAGACUGUUCCUUCUCUUUCAUAGUUCCCACACAAUACAUGAAGGUAGAGCCUGUAUUAUUGGGAAGCAAUUGAGCAGUCCAACACUUGGUAACGGCUUGGUGUAAAGACAGACCCUCCAUUGCAAUUCCUACCCUCGUUAAGAAGUAUUUCCACACUGUUAAAAUAGCCUUUGAUGUGAAGAAUAAGUGUACUAGUGUUUCCUCCUUAGGAUCAGCACAACACCAACACCUAGAUGGCAUGAAAUAUCCCAAUCUUCUCAUAAAGUCAUCGAGGGGUAGUUUAGCUUUCCAUACUUUCCACAUAAAGAAGGAGAUCUUGAAUGGCAGCCCCUUCACCCAUAUAAUCUUGUAGGCUAGCUUAGGAUUGUCCCUCCUUCGUAAAUACUCCCAAGCUGACUUUACUGUGAAAUGACCUCUAGUUUCAAGCAUCCAGUAUGGAGUGUCUACAACAUUUUCCAUAACUGGAGGUCUAAUUUUCUCAACAAUAUGCAGUGCCAAUUCUUCAGGUAAAACUUCAAAUAGUUUAUCCACAUUCCAAGCACCAUUUUCCACCAACUCAUUCACAUUAUGUAUGUCUUCAUCAACACCAAAAUCUGGAAGGACUAGGAAAUAUAAUGCUCCUACUCCUGCAGAGCCCAUUUUUUGUUUCCAUGUGAUUUGAUGCUCAAUUAUAUCAAUGCAUUCUAACAUCUUUCUCCACAUGUGAGAUCCCUCCCUCCAUGGAACAAUUACUGCAUUUAGUUUUUUGCAGUAUUUUUGACUCAUAAAGGAACUCCAUAUGCUAGGCUUGGUUCUGAAAUUCCACCAUAAUUUACAAAAGAGUGCCUUUGAAACAUCAUGUAAUAAUCUGAAUCAAAUACCUCAUUCAUCAUAUGGCAUACAAAGGGUGUUCCAUGACGCCCAAUGCCUGGUGUUUCCUCCUACAUUACUGCUCCAGAAAAACUUGGCAAAUAUUUCGCGGAGCUUAUUGAUGACGUAGUUUGGAGGAUUGACAGUUGAUAGCAAGUGUAUAGGCAUACUCUAUAGAACAUUAGCAAUCAACACUGCCCUGUCUUCUAUUGAAAGUAACUGACCUUUCCAUGAUUGCAACUUGUCCAUAAUCUUUGUGAUCAAACCUUUGUAGUAGUCCAUUCUCCUACUUGCAUAAAAAAUGGGGCAGCCUAGAUAAGUAAAUGGAAAUUUCUGUCUCUCUAUACCAGUGAUCCUCUCGACGUUUCUAACCACCUCUAUGUCUACCAAAUGAUGCAUGUAGAUGGCUGAUUUGCCUUUGUUCACCAACUGCCCUGAUGCCAUCUCAUAUGCAUGUAGCACUUCCAUCACAAUUCUUAAUGAUGUUGCAUAAGAUGAAGAGAAUAUUAUUGUGUCGUCUGCUUAUGAUAGAUGGUUUAUUUUUGGGCUAUAUUUUGGCAAUCCAUGUCCACAAAAAUAAAGAUUCAAAUGCAGAGAAUUCAAGCCUCGUGAUAAUGCUUCAGUAGCUAAGAUAUACAGUGUAGGUGAAAGAGGAUCGCAUGUUUAACUCCCCUCGAUGAUUUGAAAAAUCCAUGUGGUUGUCCUUUCACAAGAAUAGAAUACCAGUUAUUCCCUACAAUAUCAAAUACCAACCCAAUGAAUCUUUCUUAAAAUCCCAGUUUCCUCAACAUUUUGGUUAUAAACAACCAAGAUAGCCUAUCAUAGGCUUUUGCCAUAUCGAGCUUAAUGACAACAUUUGGCCCUGCCUUUAUUCUGAGUCUAAUAUCAGUGAUGAUCUCUUGUGUUAGUAGCAAAUUCUCUACUAUGCUUCUCCCCUUUACAAAGCCUGCUUGUUCUUCUUAAAUCAACUCAGGUAAUAGCCCCACUAAUCUCUCGUGAAUCACCCUAGAGAAAAUCUUAUUGACAAAAUUACUAAGGCUGAUUGGCCUUAUGUCAACAAAGGUAUUUACUUCUUUCUUUUUUGGCAAUAGAACAAAAUUUGUGUCUGUCACACAUUUAGGCAAUUGCUGACCACAGAAGAAUGUCAUCACCAUUGCAAACUCAUCUUCUUCAAUGAUCUCCCAACAUGUGUGAUAGAAGGUGUUACAUCACGUACUUUAAUAUUAGGAUAAGUCGUAAUAAUCCAUAUAAGCUUGAAGGGGAUUAAGACUAUUCAUGAGGUUAUAAAGGAUUUGUGACUAUGUCAUUGUAAGACCCCGUAAGUUUAACAACCUUGAUACUAUUAUAUAUAUAUUGAUAUAGUAUUUUUAGUGGAAUAUUUUUGUAAAACGGUUUAAGAAAGAAAUAAUAUGAUUUAUUAUAGUUAUUAAUAUUACUACUUUCAAUUAUACACAUAAUAUGAGGAAGUUUAUGAUAUUUUCUUUAUUGUAAAUAUAGAAAUUAUUUUCUCACAAGAAAAGAAGGUUAUCUUUUUACCAUUUUAAGAAUUAAGCGUACGAAAAUUUGUACUCUUUAUAUGAGAUUAUUUUGAGACCAUAAGUAUUUAUGCUAUUUGUAACAAGUGAUAAGUAAGUGUUAUAAAAUAUUAUAAAAUACGGUCCGAGCUAUAAUACCCGAUAUUUAUGGACUAGUACCAUACAAGGUACCCUAUGACCGUAAUAGUAAGAUGUAUAAAGUGUGUUAAAAGUGAGUAGUAUUUUAAGAUAAUCCUUAAUUAUGUAAAUUAGUAGGUAAUGGAGGAACUAACUAGUUAAUUAAUAAUUAAUGGUUGAGUAAUUAAUGUCUUUUGGAUAAGGGUAAUAAGCCAAAACGUGGCAACACAAUGAAUCUUCAUCAAAGCCAAAGUAUGACUCAUUAUUUCAUGGAAUUGGGUGGCAAAAUACAAAUCAUUAGACCAAAGUCUAUCUCUCAACUCAAGAUCAUUCGUAUGAAUUAUUACCUCUACUUUUUGUAUGUUUUCGAUUUACUAUCAUACAUCUUUAUUGGAAUUGGAUAGGCUGUUGCAGAAGUCUAGCUUGAGUCGCACAUCAUUUUAGUAAAAGAGAAGCAUUAUAUGUCUAAAGAACAUGAGAAUUUCUUAAUUAACGUGAGAUUUUGCAAUAUUAAGGGAGUACGAUGUAAUCGUUCCCAAGAAUAUCAUACGGAUUUAUCCCUAUUUCAGGUAUGAUAAGGCUAAUCCUUCUUUCUUUUGACAUGAUCCAAGUAACGAUACGUAAAUAUAAUGUUAUUUCAUAAAUGAUUCUACUCUUAGUAACUAAGAAGGUCUACGUUAUACAUUCUUGUAAAAUGAUAUUCAAUCAUGUCUAAGUAUAUUCCUAAGUCUCUAUUGAGGUAUUUGAUAAAGAUGUUAAUGUUUAUAAUAUAGUGAUACAUGCAUCUUCAUACAUUUACCACCGUGCUACGGUCGGUUGGGCAGUCAUGCAUAUGCAUUUACCACUGAGCUACGACCGGUUGGGCAGUUACAUAUUUAUUACCGUGCUAUGGCCGGUUGGGCAGUCAUGCAUCUUCAUUUAUCACCGGGCUAUGGCCGGUCGGGUAGUUACCACCGGUUGGGCAGUUAUGUAUCAUUAUUUACCAUCGGUUGGGAAGUCAUACAUUUACCACCGUGCGAAGAUCGGUCCGGCAGUUACCACUGAUCAGUUGGGCAGUCAUACAUCNNNNNNNNNNNNNNNNNNNNNNNNNNNNNNNNNNNNNNNNNNNNNNNNNNNNNNNNNNNNNNNNNNNNNNNNNNNNNNNNNNNNNNNNNNNNNNNNNNNNNNNNNNNNNNNNNNNNNNNNNNNNNNNNNNNNNNNNNNNNNNNNNNNNNNNNNNNNNNNNNNNNNNNNNNNNNNNNNNNNNNNNNNNNNNNNNNNNNNNNNNNNNNNNNNNNNNNNNNNNNNNNNNNNNNNNNNNNNNNNNNNNNNNNNNNNNNNNNNNNNNNNNNNNNNNNNNNNNNNNNNNNNNNNNNNNNNNNNNNNNNNNNNNNNNNNNNNNNNNNNNNNNNNNNNNNNNNNNNNNNNNNNNNNNNNNNNNNNNNNNNNNNNNNNNNNNNNNNNNNNNNNNNNNNNNUAGAAAAAUAAAACAAGAACAUAAUUUUGUGCAUUACAUUGGUAAUAUGUGGCACCUUCACGUGUUUACCAGUUGUUUUGCUGGAAAGAUUGUUGUUUUACUUCUUGGUUGUGUUAAUGUGGUACACUAACUGGGGUGCAUCUGUGAGAGUAGAUGAAGAUAAGUUUAUUUUGCUGUCUUUUUUGCCUUACAUACUCAAUACAUUAUUCGUACUGACGUCAUUUUGUUGGAGACGCUGUAUUCAUGCCUGCAGGUAUAGAUAAUCAGUUUGACGAGCCCUCAUAGUAGACGAGAUUGGCAUUCAGCAAAGGAUCGGUAAGACUCCACCUCAUUCGGAGUGCAACCGAGUCUAUGAGUCAUCGUGUCAGAGUUUUGCUAAAGAUUUAUGGGUAGGCCGGUACCCUGUCCCAUUUGAUGUCAAAUAAUUUUAGAGGCUAUGUAGAUAUAGGUUCAUUUUGUACACUAUGUCAGAGGCCUUGACGGCUCAUAUAUAUAUUCAUGUUUUAAGAAAACUGGUUCAGGGAUAAAGUGUUGCCCACUUAUAGAUAUUUCAGUAGCAUAGGACAAUGGUCUGAUCUAAUUUUGGACAAAUGAGUCACCUCCAAACCAGGAAAAGUCUGUUAUAAUUCCAUGUUGCCUAGGAAUCUAUAGAGUCUCUUAAAUAUACAAUCAUCAUCUGAUCUUCCAUUCCACCAUGUAAAAAUACUCCCCUUGAAUCCCAAAUCUGUCAAGUUACAUGUAUUGAUGCAAUGCCUAAAGUCAUCAACUUCAUUAAGGGACACUGGCAGUCCAUCAUACUUUUCUUCUUCAUCCCAAAUCACAAUAAAAUCACCUCCCACGAGUCAUGGGACUGUCAUAUCUCUAGCCAUUGCGUACAAAGAAUCUCACAACUCAAUUCUCUCUAUUGUAAAACAUUUGGCAUAGACCAAUGUGAGUAUAAGUUCCACAUGGGUUUCAGUAUGAAAGAGUUUCAAAGUCAGUUGUUGCACCAUAUUAUAUAAUAUUGUAACUUCAAAUACUUCAUCUAUAAAUUCCCAUAUUUUGUUUUACAUAUUCACCACAGCCUGAGCCAAACUAAUUCUUCUUCUAUAUCUCUCCAUUUUGUUAGACUGCUGCAUAAGUUUAAGGAUCCCAAUAAAUUCAAAGUGUUUCUGCCUGUGCAUUGUGAUCAACCUCUCAAAGGCUUGCAUAGUUUUUACUAAUCUGACAUUCCAUAUGAUUGCAUCUAUUAAUAAUUUUGGGAUUUAGUCAGAUUUCUCCUCGGUUGUACUCCACCAAUUGGAACAGUUGAGGUCUCCUUAAUUUGCUUCUUUCUACCCUUAGCAGCAAAUUUUACCUUCUCAAUGUGCCUAGGUGAGAGAUCCCCUUGCCUAGCAACAUAAAAAAAGUUUUGUUCAGUAAACUCUUCAUUCAAGUCUUUGUUUGCAUGAUCAACUAGAACCUCUAACUUUUUUGCAUCUUCUGUAGCUACUACACCAGUGUUUUCCUGAGUAGUAGUCACAGUCUGCUCCCUAGCAUUGUUCUUAUUAUGCAGUUGUACUGGAUUCAAUGGAACAGUAAUAUCUGCUGUGGCCUGCACCUGUGGAUUAGUCAACUGCUUUUUUGAUACUUUUGCACUGCCUUUCAAUUUGGAAUUAGCAGCAACAUCAACUAUACCACCUUGUCAUGUUUCACCUGGAUCAAUAACAUUAAUAUCUACUCCUUUAUUAAUUAUUGCUUCUACCUUAUUUCCUUCAGCAUUGAUCAUAUCAACCUUGUUAGAAUUCAUUUCUUUGGAAUUUACUAAACUCUGCUCCUCAGUAGUCUUCUUUGCAUUGGCAAUCCCAUUUAUAUUUUGGUUCAUCAACUGCAUCACCUCCAAUUUUCUCUUCACUUUGUAUCUCAUCAGGAAUUUCCCCCUCCUCUGAGUCUCCUUCAGUCUGAUCAGCCCAUAAAUUGCCACCUUUUCAAUUGACCUUUUCAUUGCUUUUGAAUUUUUCAAAGUCUGCAUCAACAAUAUGAUCCUUGUCAAUAUUUUUGGCUAGUUCUCCUUCAAAUCUAGUAUCCUGAGAUGGAACAUCUUGGCAGGAUGUAUUAGUUCUAACUAAAUUUCCAUUGAAAGCUCUUUGUACCCAUUGUGCAGUUGUUUCCUUAUUUUGCUGAUCCUAUACUCUUUUCUCCUUGUUUCUUGCCUCUUCACGCUCCUUUUUAUUGUUAAUCCUUGCUGGACUAGGACUAGUAUUUGGGACCACUGAAUUAAGACUUUUUCCUGCUACAUUUGAAUUCACAUUUGCUCCAUUAUUUUGUUUGUCAAGUACUGGAGAUUUUGGAUUAAAUGAUGGUGCUGCAGGAUUUAAAGUUGUAAUUUCCUUAGGAUUAGAAAUGUCUCCUUGCCCAGAAUUCUCCUCAACCAAAACCAACUAAUUAUUCUCAUUAGCUUCAUUGUUAUCCACCUCCAAUAUUGCAAAUUGAUUAGUUGUUUGGACCUGUUGAGGCACCACAACAAAUUAUUUCUCAACUGGUACAAUUUCUUGUCCAGUUUUAGCCACACCAUCAGUCAGCUUCUCCUUGCCUUUUCCUGAUUGUCCUUGCCUCUUUCCAUUGCACACCAACAUUGCCAACUACCUUACCACUUGAUAGGAUCAUCAAAGGGAAUGUCUCUUUAACUCUUUCUUUGUUAGCUCCUACCACAACUUCAUUAAACCUUGUUGCUCCACAUGCUUAGUUUCCAUUAGUUCAGGAUGAAGCCUCCAGCAUUCCAACAUAUCAUGUCCUUGUAAUUUGUAUUUCUUACAAUAUUUAGGCAAGUAGUCGUAUUUAAUAGUUACCCACUUAGUUCUUACUACCCCAGUUAAUUCAUUCUCAAUGUCCAUGCGCACCUUCUUAGGGAGGUCAACUAAAGGAUCAACAAACACUUUCACACACACACAACUAGGACUAGUUUUCUUCACAAUAGCCAUAUCAAGGUGAAGGGGUUUUUCCACUGCUGAGGCUAAAGAGAAUAAACAUUCCUUGACGAAAAAAGUUGGCAACGAGUUAGGAAAAGAAAUCCAAGCCAUUACCUUUGGUGUUUCCUCUCCGGCUUUGAAUUUUGCAUCAUAAAUCAGUGUUCACAACUGGUAUUCAUACCCAAGCUUAUCCUUGACAUAAUUAACACUUUUCGAAGUAAAAUCAAUGAAAUCUUCCCAUAGUGUCAAGCGUAUCAACACAUGCAUGUCCCUAAGGUAUCCAAUAUUACAUUCGCCCUUAAUUCCGUAUUGAGGAGGGACAAUUCGACGUAGUUCAUUAAGCUCAGGCCAUCCAUAUGAUAAUUUACAAAUUACUGCAUAUUGCAAUCCUUCAAUCGCAUUCAUUUGAUCCACCUCUGCUUCAGUAAACUUAACAAAACGUUGUCCAUUAAGUCAACUAGCUCGACGAAGUGCAAUUGGUUGAACAGAAUUGGCUCGCGCCUGCAGGGCACUGUUCACUGUUGAAGGUUUCAGGAUUUUCGAGAAAGCUAACGACUGGGGAUUGGAUUCUGUGGUCGUAUUUGUUGGGGCGAUGGAGGGAGAGGGCUGACCAGCCAGAAUAGGUGGCUGCCCGCCGGCCAUUAUGGCCAUUGAAGCUCAAACUUCCAGCUUUUCCGCGAUGAAUAGUAGCUAAUCCCUAUUUCAUUGGAUGAACAGUGAAGUGUUAUGCUACUGUUCACAAUACUGGAGCAGUGGAUCUUGAGAGAAAAAUUCUAGAGAGAGAAUUUUUCUAGGGUGUUCAAGGGUAGCAGCAUGUUUCGGCAGUUAUGUAUUAACAUGUGAUCCAUAUUUUUUUUAAACCCCUCCCAAAUUAGGAAGAUUUAUAGUGUUUCCACAUGUGAUCCAUAUUGAAUACCUUUCGUUGUCAUUAAAUACUAAACCCACAGAGAAUAACAAGUGUCAAUGAAUUAAGGGUUAAGGAGAAUGUUUCACCCAAGGUCAAAGAAUCUCCCGAUACUUCAAAGUUCCCAAGGGUCUCAAGGCCCAGGGCAAUGCUUGUGCCGGGGAGAGUAGCCCAACCAAAAAUAAAAUAAUACUCCCAAAUAUCCUUAACCACUAAUGACUCAUUCUUCCCUUAACCAUCAAUCACCAAAAUAACACACCAUAAGAGUAUACACUUCUUAACAGAAUGACAAAAGGAGCACAAAAAUAGUUUCAUUUUUUCAUAACUAUAUUUCCAAUACUAAGUGAAUGAAGCACACAUUAAACAAGAAUGAAGGUCAAGUUCCAAACACACAUAGAGGUAGGAACACUAUAAUGUUAUUUCUAAAGAAACAAACACUUUGGUUCACACAUUUCAAGGGUAGAUAAAGAGCAUACAGUUCAAAUAUGCAACAACCUAGAAAAACAGAUGCAUCAUAGAUUGUUUUAACUCAGGUCUUGUCACUAGCACUCACAUAGGUCAACCAUACUACUUGGAACUUUUGAAAGCAUCAACAAAAGAUUCAGACAAAUAGUCCUAGUUUGAAACAUCUACAGGUGUUACCAGAAUAUAAUCAGAACUUUUAACAUGAUUAUGUUUACAGAUUCAAAUGGAACAUCUAAGAAUGCUUAACAGGGUCACAGACUAUCAGUCUUACUUAACCUUGAAAUUGAUGACAGAACCACCACUUCACAAGAGUAUUAAUCUCAUUAUUAAAAAGGCAAACUAUGAUAUCUGAGCGGUAGAAAUAAGAAGUUUCCCUUAGGAUUCAUAGAUUAGAUUCAGUUUGGAUUACCAGGGAAAGAGAGAAUUGAGUGCAGUUCCAAAAUAGUGUACAGAAGUGUGAAAUCAUGAAAGAUAAACAGAGGUACAUGUAGCACUUUCAUUCAACUACAGAUAGAUACUUCAACUAAGGUCUUACAAAAACAGGAGGAGUUUCACUCAUUAUAAGACCAAGUCAACAAUGUCAUAAAGGGGGUAAAAGACAAGGUAGAUAUUGUACCAAAUAGGUUUAACUCAGCUGUACAGACUAAGAUUAAAAUCUAAACAUGAUGUAGUUAUACCCAGCUUGUAAAAUAAUUAUCAUUCAACUAUAGUAAACAUAGCUUUAACCUAUUUUAUGAAAGAUAACUUGAUCCUAACAGAAUACGUACAGAAUGUUUACUGAUGUUCAUAAAAGUUCACCUUAAUGAGACUGUCUCAUAUAGCACCUAGAGAUGCAACUCACAGUUAGAAACAGGCAUAAGACUCUCAUAGUAAUGACUCAAAUGUUGCUUAUUGAGUUACCAAAGGCUUAUAUAAAUAAGGAGAGCAUUCAAACACUUAAACUUCACAUGCUUCAGCUAAAUGAUGAAGGAUUAAACUGUGAGAUUUUAUGUUUGGUCGAGUUAGAAUUAUCGAACAACAACCUCAAUAACAGAACAACAAAAUGCAAAUGAUAGUGUGGUAGGGAUAGAGAUCAAAGUAGAAUCAUUAAAAGAAAAUUAGGUCUAGGCAAACAUGAGAAGUCAUUGAGGCAUAUUAAGAAAUCUUAAUCAUGUGAACUAUUUGAUUCAGAAUAGAAAUCAUUAAGAUAACAUAACAACUUAAUCAAUGCGUAUUAGAGAUAUAUGAAAACAUAACAACUAACCACAUAUCAAUAACAAGUCAUCAUGAACCCGGAUAAAUAAUUAUAGACUAAUAACAAACAUCACAAACGAAACAAUUAACUAAAAGACAAUAGCAUGUUCAUGAUCAUCGAAUGAAACUGUCAAAAGAGAGAGGGUGGAGGUACACUGACCUUUUCUAGGGCAAGAGACCAAACAUGAUUUUAACUUAGAUGCAUGAAAACCAAAGUUUCAAGCUCCUAAGCAGUAAAGGGACUCGAAAACAAAAGGAAAUAGAGAUUGAGCAGAAAAGAAACCUAGGCUUCUAAAUCUUAAUUCGUAUGAGAUUUUUAGACUCUUGUUAGGUUUUGUAGGUCUAGUUGGUGAUGUUACGUGAGAGAAAUCAGGCUCUAUUUAUAGUGUCACUUAAUGGCUUAGGGUGUCAUAUUCAAGCAUAGAUAUUGGAAGAUGACAGAGGAGUAUUGAUGCAAUCAAGAUUGGGAAAAAUCUAAGGAGACAAAGGGAAAAUGAUAAAUAAGUUUUUACAUAAGUGAAGAUCGACGUUUGAAGGCAAAGAAGCAUCGGGCAAGACAUCAAUGUCUAGAGGUCACUACGUUUGACCUAAGGACAAUGAAGGACAAUGGUGAUGAUGAAAAGCCAUGCAUGCCAUGGAUUUAAUAGCACAUUGAGAGAAAUCCAAAGACUUAACAUUACAUCGUUGUAUCUAGGGUUCAGAUUUUGGGUAUUUGAAUUUUGGAUAAUGAAACAGGAAAGAAUCGGCGAGAAUCGCGGAUCGGGGAGGUAAAUAGCAUGAUUAUCUAUUUGAUUUGUGACCUUGCACAAAUUUGUGCAAGGUAUGUGACUGAUUUGAUCAUGGCGAGUUGAGAGAAGAGAAGAUGAAAGGGGAAAUGGGGGAUGGCCGUUUGUGGCAAAUGAAUUAGGGUUAAGGAGUGGGGUUUGGCCAUCUCUGAAUUAAGAGUGAGAGAGGAGAUCUGGGCCGUUGGAUAUGAUGAUCAACGACCCAAAUAAUUCAGGCACUUAAAGGUUUUAAAAGAUUAGAAAGUUAAAAUAUAAGAGCCAUUAGAUCUUUUAUUUUUAACGAUUGAGAUUAAAUCGAAUAAGAUGUUUAAAAUUAAAGGAAAACCAGAGAUAAAAUGAGGGUCGUCUGUAGAAUGGACGACCUAGAUUGAUUGUGUUUCUUUUGUGAGUAAUAGAGAUAGGUGAUGUGGUGUGCUCUGAUUGGUUCUCAUUGGUUGGGGCGGAUUGCCAAAGUAAAAGAAGGGGUGGACUUGGACUGGGUCAGAUGGGAUUGGGCUGGUUUUGAUUUAAAGAAUGGCCAAUUUGUGUUUAAUUGUUCAAUUGGAAAUGUAGCCCUUUUAGUCUUUAACCCUUUUGAAAUUAAUUUAUAUAACAUUAUUUAAUUUCUAAUAAAAUGUAGUAAAAUUACAAAUAUCAAAUAUACUAUUAAUUAUUGUAAUUACUUAUAAAAUACUUUGUUUUCUAAAUUACAACACUAAUUUUGAAUUAUCAACAUAGUAAUCUAAUUAAUUCAAAUUUUAUGGAGUAAUUAAUUAUAAAACAUCAAUGGCAUAUUAAAAUUUAUUUUAAUAAUAUUAAAAUAGUAAGUACAUUUGUAAUUACAUAAUUGUAAUGCUGGGUGAUUAAUUUCAAAACUAAUACUUAAUUAAUUUGUAAAAAUAGUUAUUUAUUGAUAGAAAAUACUUUCAAACCAUUCAUUGUAAAUUAUUAAGCACAAGUAAAUUAACUCGAUGCUAUGCUUUUCCUGCCAGGUUAGAGGUGGUUGCUUCAGACGUAGUGAUCACAAGUAUUGUUUCAGUGUGCCACAUGGAUGAUUUAGUAUUAUAUGACCCUGGUUUCACUUAUUUAUAUGUAUGAUCGUACUAAGCUGGUUAUUUGGACAUGCCCCAUGAUUCAUUAGUUAUGCAUGUUCAUAUAUCUAUGCUGGUGGGUGAUUUUGUUAUUGUGGACCAUGUAUGUUGGUCAUGUAUGGUGGCUAUUGGGGGUAAUGAGACGAGGGUUGAUCUUUUUCUACUUGACAUGGUUGAUUUUGAUGUAAUAUUGGGUAGGGAUUGGUUGUCACCAUAUCAUGUUAUCCUUAAUUAUCACACUAAGACCGUGACAUUGGCGAUGUCGGGGAUGUCGAGGUUAGAGUGGAGAGGUUCUCUAGAUUAUAUUCCUAGUACAGUGAUUUCAUACUUGAAGGCUCAACAGAUGGUUAAUAAGGUAUGUUUGGCAUAUUUGGCCUUUGUCAGGGAUGUUAGUGUGGAUACUCCUAUCGUUGAGUCAGCUUCGGUAGUGAGAGACCUCCCAGAUAUGUUUCCUCCAGACGUGUCGGGCAUGCUACCUAAAUAGGGACAUUGAUUUUGGUAUUGACUUGGUGUCGGGCACUUAACCCAUUUAUAUUCCACCAUAUCUUAUGCACCAGCGGAGUUAAAGGAAUUAAAAGAACAACUUCAGCAGCUCCUUGAUAAGGGUUUUAUCAGACCGGAUGUGUCGCAUUAGGGUGCUCCAGUUCUAUUUGUGAAGAAGAAGUAUAGUAUUAUACGGAUGUGUAUUGAUUACUGGCAAUUGAACAAAGUUACAGUCAAGAAUAAGUACCCUUUGCCGUGCAUUGUUGACUUACUUGAUCAGCUUCAGUGUGCUAUAGUGUUCUUUAGGAUUGAUUUGAGGCCUGGGUAUCACCAGUUUAAGAUUCGGGAUUCAGACAUUCUGAAGACGGCAUUCAGGACCCGUUAUGGUGACUACGAAUUUUUUGUGAUGUCUUUUGGGCUGACCAAUGCCCAACAGCCUUCAUGCAUUCGUUCGUCAUAGUGUUCAUUGACUGCAUGUUGGUGUACUCUCGCGGUCGGGAGGAUCAUGAACAGUAUCUGAGUGUUGUACUCGUGACUUUUAGGGAGAAGAAGUUGUAUGCUAAAUUCUCUAGGUGUGAGUUCUGGCUUGAUUCUAUGGCGAUCGUAGGGCACGCGAUGUCCAGUAAGGGGUUCAAGGUAUAUCCGAAGAAGAUUGAGGCAGUUCAAAGUUGGCCUAGACCGUCAUCAAAUAAAGAGAUUCAGAGCUUCUUGGGUUUGGCCAGAUACUAUUGUCAUUUUGUGGAAGGUUUCUCAUCCAUUUUUACACCUUUGGCUAGAUUAACCUAGAAGCAGAGAGGCCACUAGCCAUGGAUUUUCAAGCCUUGACCAAUCAGUUGCGAGAUUGGAUUUUUUGGAGUCUAGUCGAGUUCUUGCUUGCAUUGUGGCCCAGUCGUCAUUUUUGGAGCGUAUCAAGGCCCAUUAAUUUGAUGAUCCUCACAUGAUGGCAUUGAGGGACACGGUUCAGCAGGGUGGUGCCAAGGAGGUUGUGAUUGGUGAUGAUGGUAUUAUUUGGCUUCAAGGCUGGGUUUGUGCUCUAAAUGUUGAUGAGUUGAGAGAUUUGAUCCCAGACGAGGCUCACAGCUCAUGCUAUUCCAUUCACCCAGGUGUCACGAAGAUUUACCGUGACUUGAAACAACACUAUUGGUGUUGGAGAAUGAAGAAAUAUACCUUUGCUUGUGUCUCUCGGUGUUUGAAUUGUCAAUAAGUGAAGUGUAAACAUUAGAAAUUAGGAGGAUUGAUUCAGAAAUUGGAGAUACCGAAGUGAAAGUGUGAGCGUAUUACCAUGGAUUUCAAUAUCGGUCUCCCAUAGACUUUGAAGAAGUAUGACACACUUUGGGUUAUUGUGGACCGGCUGUCUAAAUAUGCACACUUCAUUCCGGUAGUGACUUCCUAUUCUACAGAGUAGUUGGCUGAGAUCUACAUUUGGGAAAUUAUCUGCUUACAUGGCGUGCCCAUUUCCAUCAGUUUAGACUGGGUCACGCAGUUCACAUUGUAGUUUUUGAGAGCAGUGCAGCGAGAGUUGGGCGCAUGGGUUGAGUUGAGUACAAAAUUCCAUCCUCAUAUGGACGGGUAGUCCGAGCACACCAUUCAGAUCAUGGAGGAUAUGUUACGUGCAUGUGUUAUGGAUUUCAGAGGUUCAUAGGAUCAGUUUCUUCUAUUAGAAGAGUUCGCCAACAACAACAGCUUUCAGGCCGUAUAUGGGAGGAGAUGUCGUUCUCCAGUUGGUUGGUUUGAUCCAGGGGAGGCUAGGUUGUUGGGCACCGAUUUGGUCUGGAAUGCUAUGGAAAGGUUUAAGGUGAUUCAGGAGCAUCUUUGUACAACACAGUCUAGACAGAAAUGUUAUGCUGAUAUGAAGGUUCGUGAUGUUGCAUAUAUGGUAGGUGAGAAUGUUCACUUUAGAGUUUCACCCAUGAAGGGAGUGAUGAGUUUCGGAAAAAAGGCAACUUGAGUCGUCGGUAUAUUGGCCCUUUUUAGGUGCUUGAGAGGAUUGGAGAGGCGACCUACAAACUUGCAUUGCCACCUACUCUAUCUGGUGUUCAUCCAUUGUUUCAUGUUUCAUAUUUCUAUGCUCCAAAUGUAUUAUGGUUAUCCGUCACAUGUUUUGGAGUUCAGCACGGUGAAUGUAGAUGGGGAUUUGACUUAUGAUGUGGACCCGUUGGCCAUUUUGGAUUGGUAGGUCGAAAGUUGAGAUCAAAGAAUAUAACAUUAGUGAAGCUGGAAGGGAUAGGUCAGCUGGGCUAGGGGGCUACUGGGAGACUGAGCAGGAGAUGCAGAGCAUACAUCCAAACCUAUUUUGAGACUCCAAGUAGGAUUCUAGGCUUGUUUGAGGACGAACAUUUGUUUAAGAGGGGGAGAAUGUAACGACCCUGCCGGUCAUUUUGUGUAUUGUAACCCUAUUCCCCUAUUUAUUGCUUCUUAUGUGUUCAUUUGUGGUUAUCUGACUGCCGGGGUGGUUUCUUUGGUUCCAGAAAAGUUUCGGAGAGAAUUAGGUCACUUAGUUCCAAGGUUGGAAGCUUAAGUUGAAAGAGUUGGUGAGAGUUUGACCUUUGUGUAGAUGGCUCCGAAAUGGAGUUUUCAUGGUUCCAAUAGCUUCAUAUGGUGAUUUUGGACUUAGGUCUAUGUCCGAAUAUUGAUUUGGAGGUUCGUAGGUCGUUUUGGCUUGAAUUGGCGAAAGAUGGAAAGUUGAUGGUUUGGAAGGUUGAGAGGUUUGACCGGGAAUUGACUUUGUUGAUAUCGGGUUCGGAUUUUCGUCCCGGAAGUUGAAAUAGGUCCAUUGUGUCAUUUGGGACUUGCAUGCAAAACUUGAGGUCAUUCAGAGUUGCUGUGAUAUGGUUCGACAUUAGUUUUAGAAGUUGUAAGUUCAUAAGUUGUUGUUAGGCUUGAAUUGAUGUGCGAUUCCUGAUUUUGGUGUUGUUUUAUGUGCAUUGAAUACUCGAGUAAGUUUGUAUCGUGUAUUAGGACUUGUUGGUAUGUUUGGAUAGUGUCUCAGAGGCCUCGCGUGUAAUUCGGAUAAUGUGUGGACCAUGUUUGGACUUAGUAGUAUUGCUGAAGAAUUUCAAGUUCUGGUGCAAUCGCACCUGUGAGGAUUUGGUCGCAUGUGCGGAAUAUGCUGGCGCUAGGGAAAUGCACAGGUGCGAAUGUUUGUCCGCAUCUACGUGCUCGUAGAUGCCAGAAGUGGAGCGUAGAAGCGAAUUGGAGUAUGGUCAUGGAUUUCCGCAGAUGCGGACAUUGAGGCAUAGGUGCGCAUGCACAAAAGCACGAUGUAACUGCAGAAGCAGAGGUUGGCUGGAAGGUCCGGGACCGCAGAUGCGGCCACUUUUCCACAGAAACGGGACCGUAGAUGCAGUUAAGUGACCACAUGUGCGGUUUCACUAGCAGAGUUAUAUUUGAAGGGUUUCUUUGUUUUUCUCAUUUUGGUAAAUUUGGAACUAAGCUAAGGGCAAUUUUUAUGAGGGUUUUUUUCUACAACUGAAGAGAUAAGUGAAGUUUAAUCACUUUUGUUGAUAAAUAUUGAUUACGCAUUGACUAUUACACCUAUUUACAUGAAUUUGAAGUGAAAUUUGGAGAUUAUAGAUCAUGGUAUUGGAGAGUGAGAUUUGGUGAUUUAGGGGUCAAUUUAUGGAUGGAAUUUAAUGAAAUUAGUAUGGUUGGACUCGUAAUUGAAUGGGUAUUCGGAAUUUUUGAAUUUUAUCAAAUUUUGAUAAAUAUCUAAACUUUAUUGUUUGAAGUUGUUUCCUACAGCACUAUUUGUUGAUAUUAAGUUGUUUGUGACUAAAUUUGAGUCAUUCGGAGGCCGAUUCGCGGAGGAAGGGCUUUUUCGAGUAUUGAUUUGCGCGUUUUGAGGUAAGUAACACAUCGAAACUUGGAUUUGAGGGUAUUUAACCCUGGAAAUCAUAUUAUAUGAAAGGUAUUGGGGUGACGUACGAGCUAGGUGAUGGGCGUGUGUACGUGCACCGGUAUGUUCAUGAUUUGAGAAAGCUUUUAGAAUAUUACCGGGCUUAUUUGGCUAUCAUACCUUGUUGUACCCAUGUUGUUCCUACUUGUUUGAAUAUUUAAACUCUGAUUCAUGUUAGACAUCAUGUCUAGGCUAUAUGUUAUUUGUUUUUAUACUUGAUAGGGCUAUAUUGCAAUUUGUGAGCUAUUUGCCUUAUUUGUACACAUGUUCUCAGUCAUGAUACCAUAUUCGUGUAUAAUAUUUGUGUCUCAGUGCUCUAUUUGAUUCCUCACAUGUUGUAAAUGCAUCUUAUGUAUAAUACUAUUAAUCUGAAUAGUGUGAAGAUGUGAUUAUUUGAGACUUGAACGGUAAAUUACUGAUUUUGGGACAUAGAGCUGGUUUGGUAUUGAUUUUGAGGUGACACGUAAGUCAGGCCCAUAUUGGGCUAAGUGCUAUUAUUUUGGGGAGACGCGUGCACGAGGCCUCACUAUUGGGCUAUUGAUUUUGAUUAGCACUUGGGCAGGAUUCGCCCCUCUGGAGUCUGACAUGCCAGCAGUGGGCAGAUGCAUAGUGUUUUAUAUACGUGCUUGAUGAUGGGCUUUAUGCCAGACACCCGUACAGUGCCAAGUGUGAUUUUUCUUGAUGGAUCCACCGUGGUAUUAUUGUUUUGACAUGUAAGCAUAGAGAUGCACUUUUCUCGUGCUAGCUUAUAAAUAAAAUAUUUUAUACGUGAUGGACCUUAACUGUUAUACUCGAAAGCAUAUCUAAAUUCUGGUAUUUUGAAUAAACUAAACAUAACAUCAUUAAGUUAAUUACUUAUAUUGUUCCUAUUAUAUCCUAAGUUAUUAUCAGUUUUUGAAUGUUGAUCUCUCAUUGUUUCUUCUGAGCUCAUCAUUGCUUUCAACCCAAGGUUAGUGUUGUUACUUAUUGAGUACAUGGGGUCGGUUGUACUCAUACUACACUCUGCACUUCGUGUGCAGAUCCAGGUGUUUUCGGACGAGGUGAUCUCUAGUAUUUCAUUGCUACAAGCUUAGGAUACUACGAGGUACCUGCCAUACCGCCCGCAGACCAUAAAGUUCUCUUUUAUUAUCUAUUAUUUCUGUUCUUCUAUUCAAACAGUUGUAUUCAAAAUAUGGUCGUGUAUUUUGAUAUUCGGUAGUGCUCAUGUACUCGUUGACACCAGAUUUUGGGAAUGGUUGUAGUAGAUUAACGGUUACGUUCUCAGUUAUUUUAUGUUUUUACACUGUUCAGUUUAUUAAACCUUGUUUAAUCAUACUCCUUGUUCUGAUGUGACUAUUGGCUUGCCUAGCAAGUAGUAUUAGGUGUCGUCGCGGCUCCGGUGGGAGUUGAGUCGUGUCACAAUAAAACACAACAUUUGUAUCAAGAAUAGUUGUUAUUGUGGUCAAACCAACAUAGAGGUUCAUGUGUGUUUCAAAAAUUAGUAUCGACAACCAAACAACAUUUUAGCAUGACACGUAGGUGCCAAGAGAGUCACAACAGUAGUAACCAAACAUGGAAACAAACCAAAAGUGCAAUAGAAGGAUACUUAAUAGUAUAACAAGUUUAAAACCCCAACAAAAGAAAAUGCCAUAGUAGUAGUAACAUAAACGUUGAGUCACCAGAAAGGGUAAAAACUAACAUAAGAAUCAGCCAUGAACAGAGAUAAGAAUAACUAAAAGUCCUAAAUGAGUGCAAUAGCAGAAAUAAACCGGAACAAUGGCCAAACAAAAGCUCGCCGGGGUUUAAUUUUUUCCGCGCCAGAUCUAAAUAAUCCGGCGAGCAAAAAACCGAAACAUGUCAACAACAGUACGGCUAGAUCUGAUUCAUUCCGGCCAUGAAUUAGGUUGUAGAGGUGUAG
rnacentral:lncRNA from 1 species